rnacentral:lncRNA from 1 species
AUUGAGUGCCAAAGAUUGCACUACCUAGAUCUAUCUUGGCUUUUAUGCCUAGCUAGGGGCGUUAAACGAUAGCGCUAGUUGGAAGGCAACCCAAUUUUAUUUGUGUUUUUUGUUUUUGUUUCUGUUUAGUAAUAAAUUUUGCAUCUACCUUCUGUUCAGAUGUGUUUUUAUGUUUUAGUUAGUGUUUGUGCCAAGUAGAACCUAUAGGAUAACCUAUGAUGAUAGUUGAUUUGAUUCUGCUGAAAAAUAGAAACUUUGCGCGCACGAAAUUAGUUUUGUUAAAUCACAAAAACGUGCUUUUGUGUUUAUUCUUUUUGAUUUUGAUCAAUAGAUAAAUUGUACAGGACUUCCUAUUUUGUUAGGAUUUUUAGAGUUCCAGAAGUUUGCGUUAGUUACAGAUUGCUACAGAAUGUUCCAUUUUUGAUAGAUUCUGUUUUUCGUGUGUUGUUUGCUUAUUUUGAUUCAUCUAUGGCCAGUAUUAGGUGGUAUGGACCAUAGAGAACUUGGAAUACAGUAGGUUUAACACCAAAAUAAAUAAAGAAUGAGUUCACUAAAGUACCUUAUGUGGUGGUUUUGUUUUCUUUCACUAACGGAGCUUAUGAGAUUUCCUAUAGAGUUUUGUGUUGUGAAGUUUUCAAGUUUUGGGUAAAGCUUUGAUGGACUAUGGAAUAAGGAGUGGCAAGAGCCUAAGCUUGGGGAUGCCAAUGGCACCCUAAGAUAUUCAAGGAUAGCCAAAAGCCUAAGCUUGGGGAUGCCCCGGGAAGGCAUCCCCUCUUUCGUCUUCGUUCAUUGGUAACUUUACUUGGAGCUAUAUUUUUAUUCACCACAUGAUAUGUGUUUUGCUUGGAGCAUCGUGUAUUAUAUUAGUCUUUGCCUUUUAGUUUACCACAAUCAUCCUUGAUGUACACACCUUUUGGGAGAAGCCCACUUGAUUGAAUUUAUUAGAAUAUGCUAUGUGCUUCACUUAUAUCUUUUGAGCUUGAUAGUUUUUGCUGUAGUGCUUUACUUAUAUCUUUUAGAGCACAGCGGUGGCUUAAUUUUGUAGAAAUUUCUAGUCUCGCAUGCUUCACUUAUAUUAUUUUGAGAGUCUCUUAGAACAGCAUGGUAUUUGCUAUGGUUAUAAAAUUGGUCCUAGAAUGGUAGGCAUCCAAGUUGGGUAUAAUAAAAACUAUCAUAGGAAGUGAAUUGGAUGCUAUGAUCAAUUUGAUACUUGAUAAUUGUUUUGAGAUAUGGAGGUAGUGAUAUUAAAGUCAUGCUAGUUUUGUGAUUAUGAAUUUAAAGAGUGCUUGUGUUGAAGUUAGCAAGUCCCGUAGCAUGCACAUAUGGUUAAAGUUGUGUAACAAAUUUGAAAUAUGAAGUGUACCUAGGUUGUGCAUCCUUAUGAGUGGUGGUCGGGGACGAGCGAUGGACUUUUCCUACCAAUCUAUCCCUCUAGGAGCAUGCGCGUAGUGCUUGAUUUUUGAUGACUUCUAAAUUUUUGCAAUAAGUAUAUGAGUUCUUUUGACUAAUGUUGAGUCCAUGGAUUAUACGCACUUUUACCUUUCCACCAUUGCUAGCCUCUUCGGUACCGUGCAUUACCCUUUCUCACCUUGAGAGUUGGUGCAAACUUCGCCGGUGCAUCCAAACCCCGUGAUAUGAUACGCUCUAUCACACAUAAACCUCCUUAUAUCUUUCUCAAAACAGCCACCGUACCUACCUAUUAUGGCAUUUCCAUAGCCAUUCCAAGAUAUAUUGCCAUGCAACUUUCCACCGUUCCGUUCAUCAUCAUCAUGACAUACUUUACUUUUGUCAUAUUGCCAUUGCAUGAUCAUGUAGUUGACAUCGUAUUUGUGGCAAAGCCACCAUGCAUAAUUUUUCAUACAUGUCACUCUUGAUUCAUUGCACCAUCCCGGUACACCGCCGGAGGCAUUCAUAUAGAGUCAUAUCUUGUUCUAGUUUCGAGUUGUAAUUCAUAUAUUGUAAUCAAUGGAAGUGUGAUGAUCAUCAUAUAUUAGAGCAUUGCCCAAAAAGGAAAAAAAGAAAAAAAGGCCAAAAAAAAGAAAGGCCAAAGAAGAAAAAGAAAAAAAAGAAAAAAGAAAGAAAAAAGAAAAUAAAUAAAAGGGGCAAUGUUACUAUCUCUUUUUCCAUACUUGAGCUUCAAAGUAGCACCUUGUUCUUCAUAUAGUGAGUCUCAUAUAUUGUGCUUCAAAGUAGCACCAUGUUUUUCAUAUAGUGAGUCUCAUAUGUUGUCACUUUCAUAUACUAGUGGGAAUUUUUCAUUAUAGAACUUGGCUUGUAUAUUCCUACGAUGGGCUUCCUCAAAUGCCCUAGGUCUUCGUGAGCAAGCAACUUGGAUGCACACCCACUAGUUUUCUUUUGUUGAGCAUUCAUUUAUAACUCUAGUGCAUCCGUUGCAUGGCAAUCUCUACUCCUCAUGUUGACAUCAAUUGAUGGGCAUCUCCAUAGCCCGUUGAUUAUCCUCGUCAAUGUGAGACUUUCUCCUUUUUUGUCUUCUCCACACAAUCCCCAUCAUCAUAUUAUAUUCCACCCAUAGUGCUAUAUCCAUGGCUCAUGCUCAUGUAUUGCGUGAAGAUUGAAAAAGUUUGAGAUUAUUUAAGUACGAAACAAUGCUUGGCUUGUCACCAGGGCUGUAGAAUUUGGGAACAUCUUUGUGUGACGAAAAUGAAGCAUAGCCUAACUAUAUAAUUUUGUAGGGAUGAACUUUCUUUAGCCAUGUUAUUUUGGGAAGACAUGAUUGCUUUGAUUAGUAUGCUUGAAGUAUUACAAUUUCUUUUAUCAAUAUGAACUUUUAUUUUGAAUCAUUUGGAUCUGAACAUUCAUGCCACAAUAAAGAAAAUUACAUUGAGAACUAUGCUAGGUAGCAUUCCACAUCAAAAAUUCUGUUUUUAUCAUUUAGCUACUCGAGGACGAGCAGGAAUUAAGCUUGGGGAUGCUUGAUACGUCUCCAACGUAUCUAUAAUUUUUGAUUGUUCCAUGCUAUUAUAUUACCCCUUUUGGAUGUUUAUGGGCUUUAUUUUACAUAUUUAUAUCAUUUUUGGGACUAACCUACUAACUGGAGGCCCAGCCCGUAUUGCUGUUUUUUUGCCUAUUUCAGUAUUUCAAAGAAAAGGGAUAUCAAACGGAGUCCAAACGGAAUGGAACCUUCGGGAGCGUGAUUUUUGGAACGAACGUGAUCCAGAGGACUUGGAGCGCAAGUCAAGAAGCAAUCGAGGCGGACAGGAGAUAGGAGGGCGCGCCCACCCCUCCUGGGCGCGCUCCCGUGUCUCCUGGGCCCCACGAGCGGCCACCGACAUACUUCUUCCUCCUAUAUAUACCUACGUACCCCGAAAACAUCCAGGGAGCCAAUGAAAAACAAUUUCCACCGCCGUAACCUUCUGUAUCCGCGAGAUCCCAUCUUGGAGCCUUCGUCGGCGCUCCGCCGGAGGGGGAAUCGACCAUGGAGGGCUUCUACAUCAACACCAUAGCCCCUUCGAUGAGUUGUGAGUAGUUUACCACAGACCUUCGGGUCCAUAGUUAUUAGCUAGAUGGCUUCUUCUCUCUUUUUGGAUCUCAAUACAAUGUUCUCCCCCUCUCUUGUGGAGAUCUAUUUGAUGUAACUCUUUUUGCAGUGUGUUUGUCGAGAUCCGAUGAAUUGUGGGUUUAUGAUCAAGUUUAUCUAUGAGAAAUAUUUGAAUCUUCUCUGAAUUCUUUUAUGUAUGAUUGAGUUAUCUUUGCAAGUCUCUUCGAAUUAUCAGUUUGGUUUGGCCUACUAGAUUGAUCUUUCUUGCCAUGGGAGAAGUGCUUAGCUCUGGGUUCAAUCUUGCGGUGUCCUUACCCAGUGACAGAAAGGGUUGCAAGGCACGUAUUGUAUUGUUGCCAUCGAGGAUAAAAAGAUGGGGUUUAUGUCAUAUUGCUUGAGUUUAUACCUCUACAUCAUGUCAUCUUUAUUAAUGUGUUACUCUAUUCUUAUGAAGUUAAUUUUCUAGAUGCAUGCUGGAUAGCGGUUGAUGUGUGGAGUAAUAGUAGUAGAUGCAGGCAAGAGUCGCUCUACUUGUCGCGGACGUGAUGCCUAUAUACAUGAUCAUGCCUAGAUAAUCUCAUAAUUAUUCGCUUUUCUAUCAAUUGCUCGACAGUAAUUUAUUCACCCACCGUAAUACUUAUGCUAUCUUGAGAAAAGCCACUAGUGAAACCUAUGGCCCCCGGGUCUAUCUUUUAUCAUAUAAGCUUUCAAUCUAAUUUUAUUUGCAUCUUUACUUUUCGCAUCUAUAUUAUAAAAUACCAAAAAUAUAUUUAUCUUAUCAUACUAUCUCUAUCAGAUCUCACUUUCGCAAGUGGCCGUGAAGGGAUUGACAACCCCUUUAUUGCGUUGGUUUCGAGUUCUUUGUUUGUUUGUGUAGGUGUGUGGGACUUUUGAGGAGCCUCCUACUGGAUUGAUACCUUGGUUCUCAAAAACUGAGGGAAAUACUUAUGCUACUUUGCUGCAUCACCCUUUCCUCUUCAAGGAAAACCAACGCAAGCUCAAGACGUAGUAGUUAUCGGGAUAAACUUUUUCUGAGCUGAAUCUAAAAGUAGCAACAUAAUUUGGAACCUAGUCAUUUCACAAACCUAAGAGGUGUUAGGCACAUGUGAAACAUACACUAACGCAAAACAAAAAUUUCCUACCGCACAACCAAAAACAUACUACCGGGGAUAGAUCAAGGAUUAGGUUUUACGACUAGAAGUGCAGUAACGACAGUGGAAGUAGAGUUGGUGAUGCUCGACGUGUCUCCUCCUCGUGGAUCCCUCGAACCAUUCCUCGCGGUUCCCUUGAAUGAUCGAUCAAAGCACCGCAGGUGCAGCAUCUCCAAGGUAUCCACACGUAUGAAGCAACAUCACUCGCCGGAUUGCUAGAUCCCAAUGGGCAACUUGGGUGGAGGAGUGGUGUCCACAGUUGGAUGGGAGACAAACAUCAACCCUAAAGCGUGUGCCCCAUUCUCCUUUAUAUAGACCUUCCUAAUGGGCUUAGAUCCAUUAGUGCUCUAAUCCCAGUCUAAUUUGAACCCUAAUUUGAAUCAUACUUCCUGCCCCUUAAGUGUGCGACCCUAUAGGUUCACGUGUACAUGGACACAACCCGAGUCAAUAGAUUAUAGAUGGUAGAGGUUCCUAGCAGAACGUGCCAACUUUCACUAUAGCAUGAUGCUACUAACGCGACACUACGAUCAAAGACCCUUUGAAGAUACUGUGUGCGAUGCAUUAAUCACAAACGGCGAUGUAAAAAAUCAUCAAAAAAGGUGCAAAACGUUUGCGAUUGUGGAUACAUCAAACACUGUUCAGAUUUUAGUUGUGUGUGCCAUGCUAGGCAUAUGAUUGAGUUCAAUGAACGGUUUGCGAUGAGGCGGAACAAAAGAAACAGGCAGCCAGAUGAAGGCGUGUGCGAUAUAUGGCAUAUAGUUCACUCGGAUGAACUGUUUGUGAUUAGGCAACACAAAAGAAACGGUGAGUGAUAUCAAGGUGUGUGCGAUACAUGGCAUACGGUUCACUUGGAUGAAUGGUUUGCUUUGAGCCAAGAGAACACACUACAAAAAAUACACUUUCGUGAUGAUACGUGUUUGUCACAGUAGGUCACAUUCUUUGUCAUGCAUGUACAUCCUUGACGAUUUUAUGAAAGAAUCAAGAUAGUCAUACCUAUGAUGUCGUAGAAGUGUUCCAUGACAUUACCAAAAUUAUCAUCACGGAAGUGUCCACUUCCAUGACGAUAAAUCGCGAGUCAUGGAAGUGCUUUCACGAAGGGUGACCGACACGUGGCAUCCACCUUAACGGGUUGCCGUUAAGCUAUCGGGUCCAAUUUUGGAUCCGAUAACCCGCUAACAGCCCCGACCAUUGGGGAUUUUCCAUGUGUAAAAUUAUCAUUGGCCGCAGGAUCCACGUGUCAGCUCAGCGUUGGGACAUAUGUCUCCACUCAUAGUACAAGAGGCGCCUAUGAUACGUCGGCACGUGGCAAGGCCCACCAGUGGCCCAUUCCAGUGAAAAAGGUUGGCCCAUCAAAAAUUAGCAGGCCGGCCCAUAUAAGGCCUACUUGUGUUAGGUCCAUUUAAGCCCACGAUCCAUACGAGAUGUGCCAAUUAGGCCCGUUAACGAUUUGACACCAUUGCAUCCCAUCGUCAGUUCGAGCCCGUUAACAGCCCGCUAUACAUUUGGGCUCAAUAUCGGUCCAAUGUGGUUUCGGCCUGUUAACGGCCCAUCCAAGGGAUGGGUCAAUUUUCAGGAUGUACGACUUUUGGCCUUUUAAUGACCCAUUUAAGUGUUGGGCCAAUUUCCAGCCCGGUGUGUCUUCCAGCCUGUUAACGGCCCAUAAUGAGUUGUGCCACUUAUAGUCGGACCUGAGUUUUGGCCUUUUAACGGCCCAUGCUCUUCAUGGUCUAAUACCAGGCCGAUUUCUCUUUCGGCCUGCUAAAGGCCCACAACACAGUUGGGCCAUAUACAACACGACCUAACUUUUGGCCUCUUAGUAGCCCAUGCUCUUCAUGGUCCUGUACGAGCCCGCUUUCUCUUUCGGCCUGCUAAAGGCCCACAACAUAGUUGGGCCAUAUGUAGACCGACCUUAGUAUCGGCCUGUUAAUGGCCCGUGAAAUCAAAUGGGCCCACCUGUUGCCCGCUUCAAUGUCGGCUUGUUAAUGACCCUGGAGGUAACAUGCCCGAGCAUUAACUGUCGGCCCGAUAGCGCUUUCGGCCUGGUUAUGGCCCAUUAACGUAAUGGGCCCACUAAAGUUCAAACAUGUUUGUAGGCCCAAUUAGAUAAUUUGAUCCCAUUACGACGAGAAAUUAUGCAUAGGACCAAAACCGAUCAAUCAAAGGCCUUAAGAAUUUUGGCCCCUAAGAGCCCAUUAGGGAAGCGCAUUAAGGGCAGUGGGCUACUUACUUCAUAUAGGGCCCACGACUGUUCGUGCUAACUAAUAAUAUCACCGGUUUUUUAGCUUCCUAGCGACCAGUUAGCUGGAAUGUGAGGCGCGCUAAGCAAAGGUACUCCAUACAAGGAAAAACGUUGCACAUCCAGCAUAUAUUACAGGAAAUUACAUCCACUGGGCAAUCAAAGAUUGAUGCCAGUGCAAAUAAAUGAACAGAACCUAACGAUCUACAAUGUCACAAUCUGCAACCUCAGCGCGGAUGAUGCCCAUAAGCAUGUGAGAAAGUUGUUCCUUCUUUGCUACACUAUCUCCGAAAACAUUGAUCAGUUGUUGCGCAAGAAAGUGCACCUCUGAUUCCUCCAUGAUUUCCAUCAUUGCUUCAGCCAGUAAUUGGUUCACAAACAUACAUCUUCUCCGUUGCAUUCGAGAUAGAGGAAACUGAGCAGAUUCAGAUGGCGAUUUUGGCAGGCUUGUAUUACCGAUAAUGGAGAGUGUCUCAGCCACUGCAUCAUAACAUAAAUUAGGAUGGGAAACGAACAGAUUAAUCAAGAGUUAUUGCCAUAUUACCUAGCCUAGAUUUAUUGGAAAGAAACAAUGGGGUUGCCUUGCUGCUUUCAGAGUUUGUCUUCUUAUCUUCAGCAGCCUGCACCAAAUUAACACACUAGCAUUGCUAUCAUUGGCCAGGUCAGAUAAUAGGAAAGCAACAUUGACACAACGAACGUUUGGGCAACCAGACCACACCAGCCUACACCAAAUUAACACAAUAUGGCACAACUAUCAUCAGCCAAGUAAGGUAAUACGAAAGCAACAUUGACACAAUGAAUAAAUGGGCAACCAGAGCAGCACUACUAUUUUUUAUCAAAGAAGGGCUUCCCCCUUCUGAUUUUCAUUACUGAAAACCCACUGUAGAACCAAAGUAUUCAAACCUAACACUAACAAAUUCCAAAGCAACGCAGCAUAAAACCACAUACCCAAAAGCCAUCAAGGCCUACAGUCUACCUGCCCCAUCAUCCUGGGCUUACAAAGUUCACGAGGGCACCAAACUAACAGCAAAAAACUACUAAAACAUAGCAACAAACGUAAAUGCCACAUCUUCAGCAGGAAGUAGAGUCCAGAGCAGCACUACAGUUCAGUAAUGUGCAUGAUAUGAGAUAGUACACUCAUGCAGCUCAGUAUGCAAAACUACCAGGCAGUUUUCCUUACAAAAAUCAACAUUGUGGACUUUAAUUAUAUAUUUUGCUAUAACUAAGUUUAGAUCAGAUAAAGGUUGGAUUCACGCCGAUUAACAAAAUACAUGCUGAUGUAAAAAUAUAGUGAUAUACAUUAGGUACUUACGUCAGCAUUGGAGCACAGAGAAUUCCCGCCAGAUACUUUCCUCACAAACGAUACCAGUGCAGAAAUUCUUCUAUCUGUUAAGUUUAUUUUCUAAAAGAGAGAAGGGGAGGAAACAUGUAGAAAAUAUGAUCAGCAUGCUAUAAAAUUUCAUGAUGCGAGGAUACGCACAUGCUUCUUAGAAUGGAGUUGACAUAUUUUUGCUAGACUAGAGAGGACUAGUUCUUUGGCCAUCGGAAUGUGCUUAUUAUCAGUAGGAGUUGGGUUUCUCUAUGUUGGAGCAGCAUCUAUGAAAACUGGAGUUGGUUUACUAUCCCAUGGCGUUUGGAUCUUUUGCAAAGACCUUGUUUGUAACCCUUCAGAUUCUAACAUAGCCGUCUUCCCCUUGCAUGCCUUGUAUAGAAGAAUGGUGCUUCAAUUAUAAAACAUGCUACAACAGAGAGAUGGAAUAGGUACUGAAGAAUAGAAAGGCAUGACAUAUUGACAUGUAUUCCCUCCAUCCAGAAAAAAAUGGAUGGGUCUAGGUGUAUUUCAGUUCAAGAUGCAUCCAGUUUUAUCCAUUUCGGCAACAUGUAAUCCGGAUGGAGGGAGUAUGAUGUAAGAGCUAGGGAUGCAAUAGGACGACAGAGUAAAAAACACUAGUUGAAUGUAGAAUUGUAUGCUAGUGGAAUACAUACAGAAAAACACUAAGGCAACAUACGCGUGUAUGAUUGAGAAACUAAGAUGGCAUUGCAACAGACCACUAGAACAUCACUUCAAUGUAAAAUAACAUGGUAUGGUAGACAGAUGAAGUACAUACUGAUGAAUAACAAUGCAUAAGAUAUUCAGAAGCAUGAUGUCCAAACUAAGCAGAUGGCAUUGCGAUAGAGUAGAAUAACAAUACUUGAAUUUGAAAACAUGUUAUCAUGAAUGGAAUAGGCACUGAAAACAGGAAGGCAUGACAUAUUUACAUGCAUGAUCAGCAGGCUAAGCACAUGGCAUUGCAAUAGAGUAGAUACACUCCAGGACAUUAUAUGCAUGUUGUACCCAUAUCACGGGCCAAGUUAGAGCAAGGACCUUGUGGGGUGAAGAGGAUUCAUCAUCUUUCUACAAGUCUUCUGAAGAACUGCCUUUACAUGUUCCAUCAUAUUGGGUAUCAUUGACAUCAAGUCUGUGGGCCGUUACAUUGCUCCCUGAGGUUAUUGUGGAUAUAUCGGUGUGUGCAAUUAUAUCUGACAUGCAUGGAAGACAUCUAAUAGUUAUAUUUAUGUAAUGAGUGCUUGUAGGAGACGACAUAAAUAGUAGGACUGGGUUAACUAGCAGCAACAGGUCUCAAAAAUUAAAGGGAGAACACAGAUGAAAGCUACAGAAUAUGUAUCGUUUGUCCUCAAGAUUAACUAGAUGGCACACAAAAGUAUUAAAGAACAACAUAGGUAAUACUAGAAGUGGUAUAAUACUAUAAUCACCAGCCUGUGAGAUAGCAUUAGCUAAUCGAUGAUAACUAUGGAACAGUGUUACCUAAAGAACAAAUCUCUUAGCUGAAAUAUGGAACAAUGUUAACUCCUAAACAAGACCCGUAAGAGAUCAGCAUGAAUAUAUAGUGAAAUGUGAUAAUCUGUUUUCCAUGCUUAGAUGAAUAACAAAGCCAUAAAUGUUGCACACAAGUAAGAUGAGGAUACAACCUAUCUGGCCGCCAUCCACAGGAGUGAGCAUCAUGUGCUGACUUGUUGAUGGCCCUGCAGUUGGUGUGGCUGUCCAUGUCGGGCACGCGCAUUUGAUGCAGGGAACUAUUGAGUGGGGACUAUAGCUCCCUUCUGGUGUAUGCUUGCCUUGUUGGAGCAGCUUCAGUGAGUCGGAAGACGGUGUGGCUGAAGAUGCAAAAAACGCAUAAUGUUAAGAACGACACAUAUCUCUGAUCUGAAGAAAUACCCUAAGAGAUCAACAGUAAGGUAUGAGAGUGGUCACACGUCUGUUGACUGAAGACUAAAUUGGGGUCACAUAAUUUUAUUUUAUUUUGGUAUUGUCCGAUCUACGCUGGAUGGCUUGAUGGCCGUCUUGUGCCUCCCGGCUGACACUGUUCAGAAUCUUCCCCGAAGAGCUACCGACCAAUGGCAGAGCAGCCUGCCUCCGCCAUUCGUGGCCGCAAGAGCUCCGACCAAAAUCCCGCUCCCCGCCCCACCGCACUAAAGUGGUUGCGCCACCCCCGGCCAAUCCACGAAGACUCGCCGUCAUCCAGAUCCGGCGGCGGCAGUACCUUCAACCCACGCAACUCUAAGAUAGCCAUGUAAGCGCUGCGUCCACGGUGAACUUGCGCCCCCGCACCCUUACGUUAGACACUAGCCAACCGGCAGCCUAGGAGCUCCGCCACCUCAAGGGGUGCUGCUUCCCAUUGGGAAUCGAUUGGCCCAGAAUAAAAACUCAGACAACUAAUGCCAAAAUAAAGUGAUUUGAGAUGAGUGUAUGACCUAUCUUGCAGCCUGGUGAAGUAGGCAACUCUAGCUGACGAGUCGGUGAGGCCGGCGCGGUUGCGGUGGCUACCGGCAGCAGUAAAGCAAAGAUGUCAUGACGGUCGACGGCUACGGGGAAGCAGCACCGGAACCCUGUUGGACGCUACCAACAUUGGAGCCGCUCCGGCACCAUGCACAACGGCGGGAGUGAAUUGGCUCCGGUACGGUUCACGCGGCCGUCGUCGACGUAGCUCCGGCACCAUGGAGUAAGAGGCACACGACCCAGUGCACGACGGCAAACGGACAUCGUCUUCGGCAUUGGGGAGGAGGGCGGCGGUGAAUUUGGUGCGGUGUGGGGCGCCAUGGAGGAGGGGCUGAGGUUUCUCGGCUCGGGAGAAGGUGAUUUGGCGCCCACGGGGUAUGAAUGGGAAAUUGGGAGGGGGAAUGAUAUGUCUCCAACGUAUCUAUAAUGUUUGAUUGUUCCAUGCUAUUAUAUUAUCUAUUUUUGAUGCUUAAUAGGCAUUUUAUGCUAUUUUAUAUUAUUUUUGGGACUAACCUAUUAACCGAGGGCCCAGUGCCAGUUUAUGUUUUUUUUUCCUAUUUUAGAGUUUCGCAGAAAAGGAAUAUCAAACGGAGUCCAAACAGAAUGAAACCUUCGCGAUGAUCUUUCUUGGACCGACAGCAAACCAGAAGACUUGGAGGUGAAGUCAGAGAUGUAACGAGGCGGCCACGAGGCAGGAGGGCGCGUUUAGAGGGGUAGGGCGCGCCCCCUACCUCGUGGGCCCCUCGUAGCUCCCCUGACCUAGUUCCUUCGCCUAUAUAUACUCUUAUACCCUGAAAACAUCCAGGAGAGCCACGAAACCACUUUUCCACCGCCACAACCUUCUGUACCCGUGAGAUCCCAUCUAGGGACCUUUUCUGGCAUCCUGCCGGAGGGGGAUUCGAUCAUGGAGGGCUUCUACAUCAACACCAUUACCUCUCUGAUGAAGCGUGAGUAGUUUACCACAGACCUUUGGGCCCAUAGUUAUUAGCUAGAUGGCUUCUUAUCUCUCUUUGAUUCUCAAUACCAUGUUCUCCUCGAUGUUCUUGGAGAUCUAUUCGAUGUAAUAUUCUUUUGCAGUGUGUUUGCCUAGAUCCGAUGAAUUGUGGAUUUAUGAUCGGAUUAUCUAUGAAUAUUAUUUGGUUCUUCUCUGAAUUCUUAUAUGCAUGAUUUGAUAUCUUUGCAAGUCUCUUCGAAUUAUCGGUUUAGUUUGGCCUACUUGAUUGAUCUUUCUUGCAAUGGGAGAAGUGCUUAGCUUUGGGUUCAAUCUUGCGGUGUCCAUUCCUAGUGACAGUAAGGGCAGCAAGGCACAUAUUGUAUUGUUGCCAUCAAGGAUAAAACGAUGGGGUUUUCAUCAUAUUGCUUGAGUUAAUUCCUUUACAUCAUGUCAUCUUACUUAAUGCGCAACUCCGUUCUUUAUGAACUUAAUACUCUAGAUGCAUGCUGGAUAGCGGUCGAUGUGUGGAGUAAUAGUAGUAGAUGCAGAAUUGUUCCGGUCUACUUGACACGGACGUGAUGCCUAUGUUCAUGAUCAUUGCCUUAGAUAACAUCAUAACUAUGCGCUCUUCUAUCAAUUGCUCGGCAGUAAUUUGUUCACCUACCGUAAUAUUUGCUAUCUUGAGAGAAGCCACUAGUGAAACCUAUGGCCCCCGGGUCUCUUUUCCAUAUUAUUUAAUCUCGUUUACAUCUUGCUAGUUUCCGAUCUACUAUUUUGCAAUCUUUUACUUUCCAAUCUGUAAAGCAAAAAUACCAAAAAUAUUUACUUUACCAUUUAUCUAUCUCUAUCAGAUCUCACUUUUGCAAGUGACCGUGAAGGGAUUGACAACCCCUUUAUAGCGUUGGGUGCAAGUUGUUGAUUGUUUGUGCAGGUAUUCGGUGACUUGUGUGUUGUCUCCUAUUGUAUUGAUACCUUGGUUCUCAAAACUGAGUGAAAUACUUACGCUACUUUGCUGCAUCACCCUUUCCUCUUCAAGGGAAAACCAACGCAAGCUCAAGAGGUAGCAAGAAGGAUUUCUAGCGCCGUUGCUGGGGAGAUCUACGUUAAGUCAAGCCAUACCAAGUACCCAUCAUAAACUCUUCUCCCUUGCAUUAUAUUAUUCGCAAUUCGCCUCUCGUUUUCUUCUCCCCCACUUCUAAAACGAUUUUCUAAAACCUUUGCAUUUUCUUCGCCCCCUCUCUUGUUCGUCUCUUUUUGCUUGCUUCUUGUGUGCUGGUGUGUUGGAUUGAUUGCUUUGUCACGAUGGCUCAAGAUAAUACUAAAUUGUGUUACUUUUCCAAUACCAACAACAAUGAUUUUAUUAGCACUCCAAUUGCUCCCACUACUAAUGCUGAAUCUUGUGAAAUUAAUGUCACUUUGUUGAAUCUUGUUAUGAAAGAUCAAUCUUCUGGCCUUCCUAGUGAAGAUGUCGCAUCCCAUCUAAACAAUUUUUUUGAUUUGUGCGAUAUGCAAAACAAGAAAGAUGUGGAUAAUGAUAUUGUUAAAUUGAAGCUAUUUCCAUUUUCGCUUAGAGAUCAUGCUAAAACUUGGUUUUCAUCUUUUCCCAAAAUAGUAUUGAUUCAUGAAAUAAGUGUAAAGAUGCUUUCAUCUCUAAGUAUUUUCCUCCCGCUAGGAUCAUCUCCCUUAGGAAUGAUAUUAUGAAUUUUAAGCAACUUGAUCAUGAGCAUGUUGCACAAUCUUGGGAGAGGUUGAAAUUGAUGAUACGUAAUUGCCCUACACAUGGUUUGAAUUUAUGGAUGAUUAUACAAAAAAAAUAUGUUGGAUUGAAUUUUGCUUCUAGAAAUCUUUUAGACUCGACUGCGGGAGGCACUUUUAUGGAAAUCACUUUAGGAGAGGCUACUAAGCUCCUAGAUAAUAGUAUGGUUAAUUAUUCUCAAUGGCACACUGAAAGAUCCACUAGUAAAAAGGUUCAUGUGAUUGAAGAGAUUAAUGUUUUGAGUGGAAAGAAAGAUGAACUUAUGAAAUUAUUUGCUAAUAAAAGUGUUUCUUCUGAUCCUAAUGAUAUUCCUUUGUCCACUUUGAUUGAUAAUAAUAAUGAAUCUAUGGAUGUGAAUUUUGUUGGUAGGAACAAUUUUGGUAACAACGCAUAUAGAGACAAUUUUAAUCAUAGGCCAUUUCCUAGUAAUUCCUCUAAUAAUUAUGGUAAUUCCUGCAGCAACUCUUAUGGAAAUUUUAAUAAGAUGCCCUCUGAUUUUGAGAAUAGUGUUAAAGAAUUUAUGAGUUUGCAAAAGAAUUUCAAUGCUUUGAUUGAAGAAAAUUUUCUCAAGAUUGAUGAUUUAGCUAGGAACGUGGAUAUAAUUUCUCUUGAUGUUGAUUCUUUGAAACUUAGAUCUAUCCCACCUAAGCAUGAUAUUAAUGAGUCUCUCAAAUCCAUGAGAAUUUCCGUUGAUGAGUGCAAAGAAAGAACCGCUAAGAUGCGUGCUAAAAAAGAUUGGUUUGUAAAAGCGUGUUCUUCUAGUUUUCAUGAUAAUAAUGAUGAAGAUCUAAAAGUUAUUGAUGUGACUCCUAUUAAAUCUUUGUUUUCCAAUAUGAAUUUUUAUAAAGGUGGGACUGGAGAUGAGUCAACUUUAGUUAAAAGGCUUCCCAAUGAUUCAGAGUUUUUAAAUCUAGAUGCAAAAAUUGAUAAAAGUGGGAUGGAGACUGGGAUUUGUCACUCUGUAUGAUGGAGAGGUAUCUCUGGGCCCACUCGAUAAUGCAUCAUCAUAAUGAGCUCAAAGUGACCAAGUGUCUGGUCACGGGAUCAUGCAUUAUGGUACGAGUAAAGUGACUUGCCGGUAAUGAGAUUGAACGAGGUAUUGGGAUACCGAUGAUCGAAUCUCGGGCAAGUAACAUACCGAUUGACAAAAGGAAAUUGUAUACGGGGUUGCUUGAAUCCUCGACAUCGUGGUUCAUCUGAUGAGAUCAUCGAGGAGCAUGUGGGAGCCAACAUGGGUAUCCAGAUCCCGCUGUUGGUUAUUGACCGGAGAGCCGUCUCGGUCAUGUCUAUGUGUCUCCCGAACCCGUAGAGUCUACACACUUAAGGUUCGGUGACGCUAGGGUUGUAGAGAUAUUAGUAUGCAGCAAACCGAAAGUUGUUCGGAGUCCCGGAUGAGAUCCGGACGUCAUGAGGAGUUCCGGAAUGGUCCGGAGAUAAAUAAUUAUAUAUGGGAAGUCGAGUUUGGGUCAUCGGGAAAGUUUCGGGGGUCACCGGUAUUGUAUCGGGACCACCGAAAGGGUCUCAGGGGUCCACCCAGUGGGGCCACCCAUCCCAGAGGGCCCCAUGGGCUGAAGUGGGAGGGGAACCAAUCCCUGGUGGGCUGGUGCGCCCCCCCUUGCCCCCCCUGCGCCUAGGGUUGGGAACCCUAGGGGAGGGGGCGCCUCCACUUGCCUUGGGGGGCAAGGCACCCCCUUGGCCGCCGCCCCCCUAGGAGAUCCCAUCUCCUAGGGCCGGCGCCCCCCUGGGGACCCUAUAUAUAGAGGGAGGAGGGAGGGAAGCCGCACCUUUGCACUUGGCGCCUCCCUUCCCCCUUGCUACACCUCUCCCUCCCGCAGACGCUUGGUGAAGCCCUGCCGGGAUCCCUGCUGCAUCCAGCACCACGCCGUCGUGCUGCUUGAUCUUCAUCAACCUCUCCUUCCCCCUUGCUGGAUCAAGAAGGAGGAGACGUCUCCCUGACCGUACGUGUGUUGAACGCGGAGGUGCCCUCCGUUCUGCGCUAAGGAUCUCCGGUGAUUUGGAUCAUGACGAGUACGACUCCCUCAACCCCGUUCUCUUGAACGCUUCCGCUCGAUCUAUAAGGGUAUGUAGAUGCACUCCUCUCUCUCGUUGCUAGAUGAACUCAUAGAUUGAUCUUGGUGAAACCGUAGGAAAUUUUUUAUUUUCUGCAACGUUCCCCAACAGUGGCAUCAUGAGCUAGGUCUAUGCAUAGUUCUCUUUGCACGAGUAGAACACAAAUCUGUGUGGGCGUAGAUGUUGUCAACUUUCUUUCCACUACUAGUCUUAUUUUGCUUCAGCGGUAUUGUGGGAUGAAGCGGCCCGGACCGACCUUACACGUACGCUUACGUGAGACAGGUUCCACCGACUGAUAUGCAUUAGUUGCAUAAGGUGGCUAGCGGGUGUCUGCCUCUCCCACUUUAGUCGGAGCGGAUUCGAUGAAAAGGGUCCUUAUGAAGGGUAAAUAGAAGUUGACAAAUCACGUUGUGGCUUUUUCGUAGGUAAGAAAAUGUUCUUGCUAGAACCCUAUUGCAGCCACGUAAAAGAUGCAACAACAAUUAGAGGACGUCUAACUUGUUUUUGCAGCAAUUGCUUUGUGAUGUGAUAUGGCCAAAAGUUGUGAUGAAUGAUGAAUGAUAUAUUGUGAUGUAUGAGAUCAUGUUCUUGUAAUAGGAAUCACGACUUGCAUGUCGAUGAGUAUGACAACCGGCAGGAGCCAUAGGAGUUGUCCUAAUUAUUGUAUGACCUGCGUGUCAAUGAUUUAACGCCAUGUAAUUACUUUACUUUAUUGCUAAACCGUUAGCCAUAGUAGUAGAAGUAAUAGUUGGCGAGCAACUUCAUGGAGACACGAUGAUGGAGAUCAUGAUGAUGGAGAUCAUGGUGUCAUGCCGGUGACAAAGAUGAUCAUGGUGCCCCGAAGAUGGAGAUCAAAGGAGCUAUAUGAUAUUGGCCAUAUCAUGUCACUACUAUUUGAUUGCAUGUGAUGUUUAUCAUGUUUUUGCAUCUUGUUUACUUAGAACGACGGUAGUAAAUAAGAUGAUCCCUCAUAAUAAUUUCAAGAAAGUGUUCUCCCUAACUGUGCGCCGUUGCGACAGUUCGUUGUUUCGAAGCACCACGUGAUGAUCGGGUGUGAUAGAUUCUAACAUUCACAUACAACGGGUGUAAGACAGAUUUACACAUGCAAAACACUUAGGUUAACUUGACGAGCCUAGCAUGUACAGACAUGGCCUCGGAACAUAAGAGACCGAAAGGUCAAACAUGAGUCGUAUGGAAGAUACGAUCAACAUGGAGAUGUUCACCGAUAAUGACUAGUCCGUCUCACGUGAUGAUCGGACACGGCCUAGUUGACUCGGAUCAUGUAACACUUAGAUGAGUAGAGGGAUGUCUAAUCUGAGUGGGAGUUCAUUAAAUAAUUUGAUUAGAUGAACUUAAUUAUCAUGAACUUAGUCUAAAAUCUUUGCAAAAAUGUCUUGUAGAUCUAAUGUCCAAUGCUCAUGUCAACAUGAACUUUAACGCGUUCCUAGAGAAAACCAAGCUGAAAGAUGAUGGCAGCAACUAUACGGACUGGGUCCGGAACCUGAGGAUCAUCCUCAUAGCUGCCAAGAAAGCAUAUGUCCUAGAAGGACCGCUAGGUGAAGCACCCAUCCCAGAGAACCAAGACGUUAUGAACGCAUGGCAGUCACGUGCUGAUGAUUACUCCCUCGUUCAGUGCGGCAUGCUUUACAACUUAGAACCGGGGCUCCAAAAGCGUUUUGAGCAACACGGAGCAUAUGAGAUGUUCGAGGAGCUGAAAAUGGUUUUCCAAGCUCAUGCCCAGGUCGAGAGAUAUGAAGUCUCCAACAAGUUCUAUAGUUGUAAGAUGGAGGAAAAUAGUUCUGUCAGUGAGCACAUACUCAAAAUGUUUGGGUUGCACAACCGCCUGUCCCAGCUGGAUAUUAACCUCCCGGACGAGGCGGUCAUUGACAGAAUCCUUCAGUCGCUCCCACCGAGCUACAAGAGUUUUGUGAUGAACUACAAUAUGCAGGGGAUGGUGAAAACUAUUCCUGAAGUAUUUUCAAUGCUGAAGUCAGCAGAGGUAGAAAUCAAAAAGGAACAUCAAGUGUUGAUGGUCAAUAAAACCACUAAGUUCAAGAAAGGCAAGGGUAAGAAGAACUUCAAGAAGGACGACAAGGAUGUUGCCGCGCCCGGUAAGCCAGUUGUCGGGAAGAAGUCAAAGAAUGGACUCAAGCCUGAGACUGAGUGCUUUUAUUGCAAAGGAAAGGGUCACUGGAAGCGGAACUGCCCCAAAUACUUAGCGGACAAGAAGGCCGGCAACACUAAAGGUAUAUGUGAUAUACAUGUAAUUGAUGUGUACCUUACCAGUACUCGUAGUAGCUCCUGGGUAUUUGAUACCGGUGCGGUUGCUCAUAUUUGUAACUCAAAGCAGGAACUGCGGAAUAAACGGAGACUGGCGAAGGACGAGGUGAUGAUGCGCGUCGGGAAUGGUUCCAAGGUCGAUGUGAUUGCCGUCGGCACGCUACCUCUACAUUUACCUACGGGAUUAGUUUUAAACCUCAAUAAUUGUUAUUUAGUGCCAAGUUUGAGCAUGAACAUUGUAUCUGGAUCUCGUUUAAUACGAGAUGGCUACUCAUUUAAAUCCGAGAAUAAUGGUUGUUCUAUUUAUAUGAGAGAUAUGUUUUAUGGUCAUGCCCCGAUGGUCAAUGGUUUAUUCUUAAUGAAUCUCAAACGUGAUGUUACACAUAUUCAUAGUGUGAAUACCAAAAGAUGUAAGGUUGAUAACGAUAGUCCCACAUACUUUUGGCACUGCCGCCUUGGUCACAUUGGUGUCAAGCGCAUGAAGAAGCUCCAUGCUGAUGGACUUUUAGAGUCUCUCGAUUAUGAAUCAUUUGACACAUGCGAACCAUGCCUUGUGGGCAAAAUGACCAAGACUCCGUUCUCUGGAACUAUGGAUCGAGCAACCAACUUAUUGGAAAUCAUACAUACUGAUGAGUGCGGUCCAAUGAGCGUUGAGGCUCGCGGAGGAUAGGAUAUCGUUAUGUUCUCACUCUCACUAAUGACUUAAGUAGAUAUGGGUAUGUCUAAUUGAUGAAACACAAGUCUGAGACCUUUGAAAAGUUCAAGGAAUUUCAGAAUGAGGUAGAGAAUCAACGUGACCGAAAGAUAAAGUUCUUAUGAUCAGAUCGUGGAGGAGAAUAUAUAAGUCAUGAAUUUGGUACACACUUAAAUAAAUGUGGAAUCGUUUCACAACUCACGCCGCCUGGAACACCUCAGCGUAACGGUGUGUCCGAACGUCGUAAUCGCACUCUAUUGGAUAUGGUGCGAUCUAUGAUGUCUCUUACCGAUUUACCGCUAUCAUUUUGUGGGUACGCUCUAGAGACAGCUACAUUCACUUUAAAUAGGGCUCCGUCUAAAUCCGUUGAGACGACACCGUAUGAAUUAUGGUUUGGGAAGAAACCUAAGCUGCCGUUUCUAAAAGUUUGGGGAUGCGAUGCUUAUGUCAAGAAACUUCAACCUGAAAAGCUCGAACCCAAGUCAAAAAAAUGCGUCUUCAUAGGAUACCCUAAGGAAACCAUUGGGUAUACCUUCUACCUUAGAUCCGAAGGCAAGAUCUUUGUUGCUAAGAACGAAUCCUUUCUGGAAAAAGAGUUUCUCUCGAAAGGAGUAAGUGGGAGGAAAGUAGAACUCGAUGAAGUACUACCUCUUGAACCGGAAAGUAGUGCAGCUCAGGAAAAUGUUCCCGUGGUGCCUACACCGACUGGAGAGGAAAUUAAUGAUGAUGAUCAAGGUACUUCGGAUCAAGUUGCUACUGAACUUCGUAGGUCCACAAGGACACGUUCCACACCAGAGUGGUAUGGCAACCCUGUCCUGGAAAUCAUGUUGUUAGACAACGGUGAACCUUCGAACUAUGAAGAAGCGAUGGCGAGCCCAGAUUCCAACAAAUGGCUUGAAGCCAUGCAAUCCGAGAUAGAAUCCAUGUAUGAAAACAAAGUAUGGACUUUGACAGACUUGACCGGUGAUCGGCGAGUGAUAGAAAACAAAUGGAUCUUUAAGAAGAAGACGGAUGCGGAUGGUAAUGUUACCAUCUAUAAAGCUCGACUUGUUGCUAAGGGUUAUUGACAGGUUCAAGGGGUUGACUACGAUGAGACAUUCUCUCCCGUAGCGAAGCUGAAGUCCGUCCAAAUCAUGUUAGCAAUUGCCGCAUACUAUGAUUAUGAGAUAUGGCAGAUGGAUGUCAAAACGACAUUCCUUAACGGCUAUCUUAAGGAAGAACUGUAUAUGAUGCAGCCGGAAGGUUUUGUCGAUGCUAAGAAUGCUAACAAGGUAUACAAGCUCCAGCGAUCCAUUUAUGGGCUGGUGCAAGCAUCUCGGAGUUGGAACAUUCGCUUUGAUGAGAUGAUCAAAGCUUUUGGGUUUAUGUAGACUUAUGGAGAAGCCUGCGUUUACAAGAAAGUGAGUGGGAGCUCUGUAGCAUUUCUCAUAUUAUAUGUAGAUGACAUACUUUUGAUGGGAAAUGAUAUAGAACUUUUGGACAACAUUAAGGCCUACUUGAAUAAGUGUUUUUCAAUGAAGGACCUUGGAGAAGCUGCUUACAUAUUAGGCAUCAAGAUCUAUAGGGAUAGAUCGAGAUGCCUCAUAGGUCUUUCACAAAGCACAUACCUUGAUAAGAUAUUGAAGAAGUUCAAUAUGGAUCAGUCCAAGAAAGGGUUCUUGCCUGUAUUGCAAGGUGUGAGAUUGAGCUCGGCUCAAUGCCCGACCACGACAAAAGAUAAAGAAGAGAUGAGUGUCAUCCCAUAUGCCUCAGCCAUAGGAUCUAUUAUGUAUGCCAUGCUGUAUACCAGACCUGAUGUAAACCUUGCCGUAAGUUUGGUAGGAAGGUACCAAAGUAAUCCCGGCAAGGAACACUGGACAGCGGUCAAGAAUAUCCUGAAGUACCUGAAAAGGACAAAGGACAUGUUUCUCGUUUAUGGAGGUGACGAAGAGCUCGUCGUAAAUGGUUACGUUGAUGCUAGCUUCGACACAGAUCUGGAUGACUCUAAGUCACAAACCGGAUGCAUGUAUAUGUUGAAUCGUGGAGCAGUAAGCUGGUGCAGUUGCAAGCAGAGCGUCGUGGCGGGAUCUACAUGUGAAGUGGAGUACAUGGCAGCCUCGGAGGCAGCGCAUGAAGCAAUAUAGAUGAAGGAGUUCAUCACCGACCUAGGAGUCAUACCCAAUGCGUCGGGGCCGAUCACUCUCUUCUGUGACAACACUGGAGCUAUUGCCCUUGCCAAGGAGCCCAGGUUUCACAAGAAGACCAGGCACAUCAAGCAUCGUUUCAACUCCAUCCGUGAAAAUGUUCAAGAUGGAGACAUAGAUAUUUGCAAAGUACAUACGGAUCUGGAUGUUGCAGAUCCAUUGACUAAACCUCUUCCGCGAGCAAAACAUGAUCAACAUCAGAACUCUAUGGGUGUUCGAUUCAUCACAAUGUCACUAGAUUAUUGACUCUAGUGCAAGUGGGAGACUGUUGGAAAUAUGCCCUAGAGGCAAUAAUAAAAGGAUUAUUAUUAUAUUUCCUUGUUCAUGAUAAUUGUAUUUUAUUCAUGCUAUAAUUGUGUUAUCUGAAAAUUGUAAUACAUGUGUGAAUACAUAGACCACAAUAUGUCCCUAGUGAGCCUCUAGUUGACUAGCCCGUUGAUCAACAGAUAGUCAUGGUUUCCUGACUAUGGACAUUGGAUGUCAUUGAUAACGGGAUCACAUCAUUAGGAGAAUGAUGUGAUGGACAAGACCCAAUCCUAAGCAUAGCACAAGAUCGUGUAGCUCGUUUGCUAGAGCUUUUACAAUGUCAAGUAUCUUUUCCUUAGACCAUGAGAUCGUGUAACUCCCGGAUACCGUAGGAGUGCUUUGGGUGUACCAAACGUCACAACGUAAUGGGGUGACUAUAAAGGUAUACUAUGGGUAUCUCCGAAAGUGUCUGUUGAGUUGACACGGAUCGAGACUGGGAUUUGUCACUCUGUAUGAUGGAGAGGUAUCUCUGGGCCCACUCGAUAAUGCAUCAUCAUAAUGAGCUCAAAGUGACCAAGUGUCUGGUCACGGGAUCAUGCAUUACGGUACGAGUAAAGUGACUUGCCAGUAAUAAGAUUGAACGAGGUAUUGGGAUACCGACGAUCGAAUCUCGGGCAAGUAACAUACCGAUUGACAAAGGGAAAUUGUAUACGGGGUUGCUUGAAUCCUCGACAUCGUGGUUCAUCCAAUGAGAUCAUCGAGGAGCAUGUGGGAGCCAACAUGGGUAUCCAGAUCCCGCUGUUGGUUAUUGACCAGAGAGCCGUCUCGGUCAUGUCUACAUGUCUCCCGAACCCGUAGGGUCUACACACUUAAGGUUCGGUGACGCUAGGGUUGUAGAGAUAUUAGUAUGAAGCAAACCGAAUGUUGUUCGGAGUCCCGGAUGAGAUCCCGGACGUCACGAGGAGUUCCGGAAUGGUCCGGAGGUAAAGAAUUAUAUAUGGGAAGUAGAGUUUCGGCCAUCGGGAAAGUUUCGGGGUCACCGGUAUUGUACCGGGACCACCGGAAGGGUCCCGGGGGUCCACCGGGUGGGGCCACCCAUUCGAAGGGCCCCAUGGGCUGAAGUGGGAGGGGAACCAGCCCCUGGUGGGCUGGUGCGCCCCCCCUUGGGCCCCCCUUGCAUCUAGGGUUGGGAACCCUAGGGGAGGGGGCGCCUCCACUUGCCUUGGGGGGCAAGGCACCCCCUUGGCCGCCGCCCCCCUAGGAGAUCCCAUCUCCUAGGGCCGGCGCCCCCCCUGGGGACCCUAUAUAUAGAGUGGGGGAGGGAGGGCAUCCGUACCUUUGCACUUGGUGCCUCCCUUCCCCCUUGCUACACCUCUCCCUCCCGCAGACGCUUCGCGAAGCCCUGCCAGGAUCCCUGCUGCAUCCACCACCACGCCGUCGUGCUGCUGGAUCUUCAUCAACCUCUCCUUCCCCCUUGCUGGAUCAAGAAGGAGACGUCUCACUGACCGUACGUGUGUUGAACGCAGAGGUGCCGUCCGUUCGGCGCUAAGGAUCUCCGGUGAUUUGGAUCACGACGAGUACGACUCCCUCAACCUCGUUCUCUUGAACGCUUCCGCUCGAUCUACAAGGGUAUGUAGAUGCACUCCUCUCUCUCGUUGCUAGAUGAACUCAUAGAUUGAUCUUGGUGAAACCGUAGGAAAUAUUUUAUUUUCUGCAACGUUCCCCAACACCGGGUAGGGGUGCGCCGGAGCUCUCCCUGCCGUCGUCCCAUUCUCCAUCAGCACCACGCUCCGCCCUCAUGGUGGGCAACAUGCCGCCUGCUCCGGCUAUCAACGCCUGCGCAGGGACCAGGGGGCUCUGAGCCCUGGACCCCGCCUUGCGGCAGGUGCGGUGGCCGAACAAGUUUAAGCCGGAUGUGCCGCCGUGCUACGACGGCGCGGCCGAUCCGCUGGCCUUCCUGCUAGCGUAUGAAGAAGCCGUCCUCAAGGCCGAAGGCGAUGACAGGGUCAUGGCUAACUGGGUGCCCAUGGCCCUCACCGGCGCCCCACGCAUGUGGCUGCUCCACCUGCCAGCGGCUUCCGUGGCCUCCUGGGAGGAGUUGUGCAACCUCUUCCUCACCCAUCAUGCUGCGCUAGCACCCCCAGUCGUCGCAGCCCUCCUGGGUGGGUCGCAGGCACCACCUUCGGGCCACCACGUCAAGUCGUUCGUCCGCCAGAUCGGCGCCAUCCUCAAGCGCCGUGAAGCCCACCGGGGCUAGGUGGCACCCAAGGCUGAUUUGACCUUCAGCUCGGACGAUCACCCCUCCAACACCGCCUGUUCGGGCGCACUCCCGAUGCUGUGCACCCCCACCAUCUGCCAGGUGGCCGUCACCAGGACCCUCAUCGACGGUGGUGCCGGCCUCAAUGUGCUCUCGGUGGAGGCCUUCAGCCUCCUCCACAUUUCACUGAAGUGGCUCCAACCCAACCGACCCUUCUCGGGUGUUGGAGGCAGUUCCACCGGCUCCCUGGGGCAGAUCUGCCUCCCGGUGACCUUCGGCACCCAUGACAACUUGCGCAUGGAGCUGGUCGACUUUGACAUCGCCCCCAUCGGCCUCCCGUACAACGCCAUCCUCGGCUACCCAGCCUUGGCCCAGUUCAUGGCAGCGACCCACCCGGCUUACAACCUCAUGAAGAUGCUCGGGAGCAGCGGCGUCCUUACCGUGUCUGGGGACACAAGGGAUGUGCUGCAGGCGCUCAAGCUCGCUUUCAAGGCAGCCGCGGUAGCGCACCCCUCCAGCGCAGAUACCCUCGAGCCCAAGGGGGCUGCGCCGGCCAAGAAGAAGCAGUUAUUCACCCAAGACAAGGCGGAGACCAAGCAAGAACCCGUCGACGAGGAUGGAUCCUCUGGCGCCACCUUCACCAUAGGUGCCAACCUCGGUCCUGAGCAGGAGGAGGCCCUGGUGAAGUUCCUGCGUGCAAACAAGGAGGUGUUUGCAUGGGAACCUGAUCAACUAGCAGGGGUCCCAAGGGAUGUGAUUGAACACCAUCUCAACGUAUGCCCCAAUGUGUGCCACGUGAAGCAGAAGGCAAGGCGACAAUCCACCGAGAAGCAGGCCUUCAUCGUCCAAGAAACCCGCAAGUUAGAGGUAGCAUGCGUCAUUCGCGAAGUUCGCUAUCCUGAAUGGCUGGCCAACCCUGUUGUUGUGCCGGAAAAGGGAGGACAGGAACGCAUGUGGGUCGACUUCACCAACCUCAAUAAGGCCUGCCCACAUGAUCCAUUCCCGCUCCCUCACAUCGACCAUAUCAUAGAUUCUACCGCCGAGUGUGACCUGUUGUGCUUCCUGGAUGCCUUCUCGGGCUAUCACCAGAUCAAGAUGGCGGUAGAAGACGUGGAGAAAACGGCCUUCCUGACCCCGUGUGGAGUAUAAUGCUAUACCUGCAUGCCGUUUGGGUUGCGCAACGCGGGCACGACCUUUCAGCAAUUGAUGCACAUCGCCUUGGGCCGGCAGCUCGGGAGGAACACCGAGGCCUACGUCGAUGACAUCGUGGUGAAGUCUCGGGAGGCGAAAACCCUGAUACAGGACCUGGAAGAAACCUUUGCGAGCCUCCAUGAAGUGGAUCUGCGGCUCAACCCGGAUAAGUGCGUAUUCGGAGUCCCCUCGGGCAAGCUCUUGGGCUUCCUCGUGUCCCACUGGGGCAUCGAGGCUAACUCGGAGAAGGUCAAGCCAGUUGAAGACAUGAGUCCGCUGAAGACCCUCAGAGAAAUGCAGAAGCUCACCGGGCGAGUAACCGCGUUGGGACUCUUCAUCUCCAAGCUAGGGGAGCGAGCACUGCUGAUGCGGAGCAUCCUUCCAUCAUCCCCAUGGACACUACUUCGACCACACAAGCUCCAAGUGGACCCAUGACAAGAGCUCGAGCACGUGCCAUCCAAUCCGAGGUUAACUCUCUCCUUGUUGAACUUCCCUUUGACCCAUUUGAGACAUGGCUACUACCUCAAACGGAGACGCUUUGCGUGCUCAGGUACCAUGUAAGCAACCAAGGAAAAGGAAUGGUGUAAGAUGGCCAUCAAGAUCAAGGAGGCAUUCUGCCCAGCCUGGAAGGACCGGUACAACCGCCCAACAACCGCCCGGGCGGAACAACCGACCGACUACCGCCCAACAACCGGCCACCUUUCUGUGAUCAAGCUGUGCAAGGCCGGUACAGCACCGGAUGUACGGGUAAUUCCCAAGAGACCGGUACUACCGGCCCAGCAACCGGUACAACCGCUGGAGCCCCGACGUCCAUCUGCAGAAGCCAGCACCUGACCCUAGUGGUAGUACCGCCUUCCUCGCCCGGUACUUCCGCCCUGCAUGAGUUACCAGCGGUACAACCGCCCCCAUGACUGGUACAACCGGCCUGUCUGCGCGCAGUGUAACGGGCCGAGCCCAUGUACCCCUUCGCCCUCACUUACCCCUUCGUGGCUCUAGACUACAUAUACUCCUCCACCUCCUCCUAGUUAAGGUAGCAUUGGUUUAGCUCAUAUUUGUGUGAGAGCCUUGCUCACGACCUCUUCGGAGAAGAUCCCCCAAGCGGAUUCAAGACCCCUUUCUAGGGAAGACCAUCAAGACCUCCGUACGGAUAAGAACGUGGUUCCUUUGUAUCCUUACCUUUGUUGAUUGUGGAUCAUAUGUUACUCUUUGUUGUCGGUGAUCUAGCACUCGUGUGAUUGAUUCCUUGUCGGUUUAGUGAUUCCCUCUCUCGUUUUCCCCGUGUUUCCCCUUUGUGCUUCUGUGUGUUCUUCGUGAUUCCCUGUAGGAUCCACUCCAAACGUGAAAGAUCGUCACCAUAGGGUUCCGCCCUACAUCAUCUUGGUAUCAUGAACCACGUUGAUCAUGUUUUUGGAGCCCCUACCCCGUGUUUUCUAGCUUGAUUUUGUUGUUUUCGUCCUAAAUCCGAAAAUCCCCACCAAAAAUAGCCCCAAUUUUUUUGUGAUUUGUUGGUUUGAUGAUGUUUUGUUGAUUUUGAUCUGUGGAUUUGCUUGGUUUCAAGUGGAUCAAGCUUUCCCCCAAGUUUCCCCACUUCCCAUCCACAAAAUCUCUCCAAUUUUGCCCCCGAAAUCAUCAAUUUCCGCCCCAAAAUCGCGCCCCGAUUCGAUAUGAGAAGAAUCCCGUCUCGAUCGGUACUACCGCCCAUCCAAGCGGUACUACCGCUGAGUACCACAAGCGGUACUACCGCCCAUCCGAGCGGUACUACCGCCCAUGCCAGUUUCAGCAUUCCCAGUUUCACCAUUUUUACCAUAACUUCCACUCCGGAGUCCGAUUUUCGCGUUCUUUAGCUCGUUGAGAAGCUAUUGACAUCCCCAUCCAUAUAGAUACACUACAACAUCAUUGGACACCAUCUAAUUUUCCGAACAUGGGCAUCUUUGCCUAGGGCUUUCACCACAUCAUACGCUAUACCACCUCCGCUUUCCGCUACCACCAUUGUUGCUUUUGGUCUUUGAGAAUUUGAGUUGUGGUUCCCGUGUCCUAUUGUGUUUCGGCUAUAUAGGUACGGUUCAACGUCAACAUCACCACCGCUCAUCUUCGCCAAGGACUCAUCAUCGCCAAGGAUGGUAACCUCGACGACAUCUUUGUCAUCUCUCGCAAUUGCAUUGAUAACCAUCAUAGCCCAUCUUUUGCGUUGCUUACCCAUCGAGACUAGCCAUUGAUUAUUGCCGGCAACGUGACUUGUGCACAUUAGUGAUCAUACUCCAUAGCAUACAUACCAUACCAAAGUGGUGCAUAUCUUGGCAUCAACUUGGGUGUCACAAAGUUGUCAUCGCAUACACAAUUGCUAUCUUGGUUCGUGAAGUUUUGCAUGCGAAAAGAACUCAAAAGUGAAAGAGCCACCCAAGCUUUUAAGCAAAGAGGAAAUAUAAGCAAAGAGCUUAUAAGAAAGAACCAUAGCAUCAUACUACAUUAAGAUUGUCAUAUAAGAUCAUCUUGGAUCAUAGCACCGAAAUACCAAACUUGUAGCAUACUUGGGAUAGAGAUCGUUGCAUUUUUGCCUAGUAGGUUGUGCACAAGCUACGUAUCCGCCUAUUGUGCAAUCGUGCUAGCGUCUCUCCAGUAUUGUGCAACAAGAGCAUUUUCGUGGAUUCCACAUUUUGGCUCACUUUUGGUUUGCACAAUCCCACUUAUCUAUUUGCGUGUGUGUUUCCGUGUACCACUACUUGCUUGGUCUACUUGUUACAUUUGCGAAUUUGCGAAUCUUUUUCAACAUCUUUGAGUCAAACUAACGAUUGCAAUCAAUUUUGUGCCACCAUCCUAACCAAGCUCCACCAUAAGCUUUUACUUGUGUAGGUGUGAGAACCGACUAGAAUUGGUACCAAAAGUGCUAUUUCAUUGUCCGCAUUUGAGUGAACUUGAUUCAUCUUCAACUUCGGUCAAGGUACAUUUGGUGCACGUUCUUUUCCGUCUACCACUUACAUUUUGCUUGGAAUGAUGGAUAGGCCAAGUUCUUCUACCAAUCCACCCCUCAUCGAGAACGGCGACGACAUGUCAUCAUUCGUCACAAAGAGCCACCUUUUUGGUGCUCAAAGGGAAUUACACCAAGAACAACAAGCAAUGAGCGACCGCAUCGACAACCUCGCCACCGACUUGCGACUCUCCGAGCAACGUACAAGAGACUACUUCGACAACAAGUUCGACUCUCACAAACAAGAGAAUGAUGCAAGAAUGGACGAGAUCCGCGCCUUGAUGAGGAACCGACAUCCUUCCACUUCUUCAUCCUCAAGAUGGAGCCGCUCGAGUCGACACUCCGACGACACCUUCUCCGACUCAAGUACACCGUCAUCGAACACUCUUCGACGAGCCGCGUGUCAAGACCAUCAUGCAUCUCGCAACCCGCUACAUGACAAGCAUUCACAAGAGCAAGUCGAUGAGCAAGUCCCUCGUCCUCAAUCAAACCAAGUCGCUUUUGCUCAAGCUCAAGAACGGCAACGACUACGGCGCCAAGAGGAAGAACGAGCGCGUCUACACCAAGAGGAACAAGACGCCGAGGCUCAACGUCUUCAACAACAACAACGAGAAGCACAAGCUCUUGAGGCGCAAUGUGCCCUUCAAGAAUCAAGUCGAGCCAUCGCCAACCGCAAUCGCGAACGACGCAAUCAAGAGGAAGCUCUUCGAGAAGAAAUCCAAGAGAGGAACUACCAACCACGUGUGCAACGUCAAGUUCCUCAAGCUCCUCCACAAGCUCGUCAAGCUCCACCUCAACAUCAAGUUCAACAAGAGCAAGUUGAUCAUGGACUUCCUCCGCGCCAAGAGAAACAAGAGGAUGAUUACCCUCCACAUCAAGGGCGUAAUCAUUACCAUCGCCAACAACACAAUGAAGAGCAAUGCUAUGGCAAGCUCAAGUUCAUAAUGCCCAAGUUCAAUGGAAGCAAUGAUCCGGAAGAGUACCUCUCAUGGGCAUUGAAGGUCGACAAGAUCUUUCGUUUGCACAACUAUGAGGAAGAAAAGAAGAUCGCUAUGGCAUCACUUGAGUUCCAAGACUAUGUGCUCAUAUGGUGGGAACAAGUCAUUGAGCGCCGACAAGCAAGAGGUGAACCUCCAAUCACCACUUGGGCUCAAAUGAAGGAUGUCAUGCGAGCACGUUUUGUGCCCACCUACUACAACCGAGAUCUCUUCAAGAAGCUACAACUCCUCAAGCAAGGAACAAAGAGUGUUGAAGAAUACUACAAGGAAAUGGAGAUAGCCAUGAUUCGAGCCAAUGUCACAGAAGAUGGUGAGCAAACUAUGGCACAUUUCUUGAAUGGACUCAAUCAUCCCAUCAAGAAGAUUGCCGACUUCCAACCAUACUCCAACCUCAUUGAGCUCGUACAUCAAGCUACCAAGGCCGGACGUCAAGUGCAAGAUGACUUCAAGUACGCCAAGUACUCAUCCAAGACCUAUGAUUUCUCCAACAACCAAGCUUCAACGACUCCUCCAACAUCUACAUCAACCAAGCCUUCUCCAAGCAACGGUGACAAGUCAAGUUACAAGAAAACUUCGGCAAGUUCAAGUCGUCUUCCUCCUACUACAAGCAACUUCAAGUCGCGUGCUUCAUCAUCUACUCCGACCAAUGAGACCGUCAAAACAAGCUCCUUCAAGUGUUUCCCUUGCAGCGGCCGAGGCCACAAGUCCUAUCAAUGCAUGAACAAGCGCACCAUGAUCCUCAACGACGAUGGUACAUACGACUCCAUGAGUGAAGAGGAGAUGGAAGAUCUUGAGCAAGUGGCCAUGCACCGGCGCGUGAAUGAGGAUGAAGAUGAUCAAGUCUUUUGUGAUGAGGAUUCGAGCCCCGCUCUUGUUGUCUCCAAAGUCUUGACACUUCAACAUCAACAAGAAGAAUACCAACGAUGCCACAUCUUCCACACUAAGGCCGGCAUCAAUGGAAGGUCCGUCAAGGUCAUCAUCGAUGGAGGUAGUUCCCACAACUUGGCAAGUGAAGAACUAUGCUCCAAGCUUCAAUUGGUCAAGAGUAAGCACCCGCACCCCUACAAGGUUCAAUGGCUAAGUGACUCCGGCACUAUUCGAGUCAAGCAUACGGUCCAAGUCUCCUUCAAAAUUGGUGCAUACGAGGACACUUUGGAGUGUGAUGUGGUCCCAAUGACCGUUUGCCACCUCCUUCUUGGUCAACCAUGGCAAUUCGACCGUGGUGUCAUCCACAAUGGGCACACCAAUCAAUAUAGCUUCAAGAUGAAAGGGAAGGAAUAUGUGUUACAACCUAUGUCUCCUAGUCAAGUGAUAGCCGACAAGCAAGCCACCCAUCUUGGAGAGAAGAGUGAGAAAGUGAUCCACCCAAAAGUGAGUGAGAGCCACAAGCCAAACUUGAGCGCCUCUUCACCUAGAGAGAAAAACCCCAUCCUAUUUGCCACUAAAAGUGAGAUGAGAGAAGUGUAUGAGAACCCAUCAAGUGUGAUGCACUUUGUACUUGUGUGCAAGGAUGGAGAGCCAACAACUAACACUUCUCAUGAGCUACCUUUAUUGUUUCAAUCUCUUUUGCAGGAAUUCCAAGAUGUUUUCCCCGAUGAGCUACCUCUGGGUCUACCUCCUCUUCGAGGCAUUGAGCAUCGAAUCGACCUUAUCCCCGGAGUGCCUCUCCCAAACAAAGCUCCAUACCGAGUCAAUCCCGAAGAAACCAAGGAGAUUCAACGGCAAGUACAACAACUCAUCGACAAUGGUCAUGUAUGUGAAAGCUUAAGCCCUUGUGCCGUUCCCGUUAUACUCGUGCCUAAACCCGAUGGAAGUUUCCGCUUGUGUUCCGAUUGUAGACCUAUAAAUGCUAUUACCGUUCGCUAUAGGCAUCCCAUUCCUCGCUUAGAUGAUAUGCUUGAUGAGCUUAGCAGAGCCAACUUUUUCUCAAAAAUUGAUCUUAAACGUGGCUAUUAUCAAAUACGCAUUCAAGAGGGUGAUGAAUGGAAAACUGCUUUCAAAACAAAAUUUGGAUUAUAUGAGUGGUUAGUUAUGCCUAUGGGUUUAUCGGAAGCUCCCAGUACUUUCGUGCGUCUUAUGCAUCAUGUGCUUCGGCCUUACAUUGGAGUCUUUGUUGUGGUUUACUUCGAUGAUAUUCUUGUGUUUAGCAAAACCAUGAAAGAGCAUAUUAAUCAUGUUAAAUCUGUUUUGCAAACCCUUUGCAAGGAACGUCUUUAUGCAAACAUGAAAAAAUGCACGUUUGGUGUUGACAAAGUGGUUUUCUUGGGUUUUGUUGUCUCUUCCAAGGGUGUCCACGUUGAUGAAUCCAAGAUUAAGGCAACUAAAACUUGGCCCCAACCCACCAAUUUGCAACAAGUGCGUAGUUUUCUUGGUCUCGCAGGUUUUUACCGUCGCUUUGUCAAAAACUUUAGCACAAUUGCCGCUCCUUUGCAUGCUUUGAGUAAGAAGAAUGCUCCUUUUGUUUGGGGAUCUUUGCAAUCCACCGCUUUUGAUGAACUCAAGUCUUUGCUUACUCAUGCUCCGAUUCUUGCUUUGCCCAAUUUUGAGAAAACUUUUGAGGUUCAUUGUGAUGCUAGUGGUACUGGAAUUGGCGGAGUUUUGAUGCAAGAAAAACGAGCCAUUGCUUAUUUUAGUGAAAAACUCUCCGGUGCUCAACUUAACUAUCCCAUCUAUGAAAAAGAAUUGUAUGCUUUAGUGCGUGUGCUACAUGUUUGGGAACAUUACCUUGGACCUCAUGAGUUUGUCAUCCAUACCGAUCAUGAAACGCUUAAGUACUUAAAAGGUCAAACUAAAUUGAACAAGCGUCAUGCCAAAUGGAGUGAAUUUAUUGAAUCUUUCCCAUAUGUGAUCAAGUACAUUAAGGGUAAAGAAAAUGUAGUUGCCGAUGCACUUUCACGCAUAUGCACGCUUGUAACUAAACUUGAGUUGAAUGUUAUUGGUUUUGAGCAUAUCAAAGACUUGUAUGAGCAUGAUCCUUCUUUUGCUACUCCUUAUGCUAAGUGUUUGAAAAACACGUCUUGGGAACGAUACUACAUAAAGGAUGAUUACCUUAUGAGAGCUAACAAACUUUGCAUUCCCGAGUCUUCUCUUCGUUUGCUCCUUUUGCAAGAGGCUCAUGGAGGUGGACUCAUGGGACACUUUGAACGCGACAAGACAUUCGCCACGCUCUCCAAGAACUACUUUUGGCCCAAGAUGUUCCGCGAUGUCUCACGCUUCACCAACCAUUGCUCUACAUGUCGCAAAGCUAAGUCUAAAGCUCAAUCCCAUGGUCUUUACAUGCCUCUUCCUAUUCCUUAUCAACCUUGGGAAGACAUUAGCAUGGAUUUUAUACUUGGUUUUCCUAGAACUCAAAAUGGAAAGGAUUCCGUGUUUGUUGUAGUGGAUAGAUUUUCUAAGAUGGCACAUUUCAUUCCUUGCAACAAGAUAGACGUUGCUUCACACGUUGCAAAUCUCUUUUGUAGGGAAAUCUUGCGUCUCCAUGGAGUACCAAAGACAAUCGUCUCUGACCGCGACGUCAAGUUCUUGAGUUACUUUUGGAAGACCCUAUGCGCCAAGCUCGAAAUCAAGCUCUUGUUCUCAUCCGCAUACCAUCCUGAAACCGACGGCCAAACGGAGGUGACGAACCGGACUCUCUCCACUCUACUUCGCGCGUUGAUCAAGAAGAACAUCAAGGAGUGGGAGGCAUGUCUACCCAUCGCCGAGUACGCCUACAACCGUGUAAGACAUUCGACAACCAGCAAGUCCCCCUUAGAGAUCGUCUACGGCUUCAACCCAUUGUCCCCAUUGGACAUUCUACCUCUUCCUCUACAAGAGCGAACCAACCUCGACGCAAGUGCUCGUGCAAGUUACAUCAAGAAGAUGCAUGAAGAUACAAAGCACACCAUCGAGCGCCAAGUACAACGACUAGCGACCAAGCUCAACGUCAACAAGCAACCCAUGGUCUUCAACAUUGCUGAUCUAGUGUGGCUACACCUUCGCAAGGACCGCUUCCCCAACGAACGCAAGUCCAAGCUUCUCCCUCGAGCCGAUGGACCUUUCAAGGUGCUAGCAUGCUACAACGACAACGCCUACAAGAUCGACCUACCAUGAGGCAAGUACAAUGUGAGUGAUAUCUUCAACGUGAAGGACCUCGCGCCAUACCAUGGAGAUGAGGAUUUUGAUCCGAGGUCAGAUCUCUCCCAAGGGGGGGGGGAGAUGAUGCGGAGCAUCCUUCCAUCAUCCCCAUGGACACUACUUCGACCACACAAGCUCCAAGUGGACCCAUGACAAGAGCUCGAGCACGUGCCAUCCAAUCCGAGGUUAAAUCUCUCCUUGUUGAACUUCCCUUUGACCCAUUUGAGACAUGGCUACUACCUCAAACGGAGACGCUUUGCAUGCUCAGGUACCAUGUAAGCAACCAAGGAAAAGGAAUGGUGCAAGACGGACAUCAAGAUCAAGGAGGCAUUCUGCCCAGCCUGGAAGGACCGGUACAACCGCCCAACAACCGCCCGGGCGGAACAACCGACCGACUACCGCCCAACAACCGGCCACCUUUCUGUGAUCAAGCGGUGCAAGGCCGGUACAACACCGGAUGUACCGGUAAUUCCCAAGAGACCGGUACUACCGGCCCAGCAACCGGUACAACCGCUGGAGCCCCGACGUCCAUCUGCAGAAGCCAGCACCUGACCCCAGCGGUAGUACCGCCUUCCUCGCCCGGUACUUCCGCCCUGCAUGAGUUACCAGCGGUACAACCGCCCCCAUGACCGGUACAACCGGCCUGUCUGCACGUAGUGUAACGGGCCGAGCCCAUGUACCCCUUCGCCCUCACUUACCCCUUCGUGGCUCUAGACUAUAUAUACUCCUCCACCUCCUCCUCGUUAAGGUAGCAUUGGUUUAGCUCAUAUUUGUGUGAGAGCCUUGCUCAUCCACUCGGUUACUUCUCCUCGGAGCUCACGACCUCUUCGGAGAAGAUCCCCCGAGCGGAUUCAAGACCCCUUUCUAGGGAAGACCAUCAAGACCUCCGUACGGAGAAGAACGGUUCCUUUGUAUCCUUACCUUUGUUGAUUGUGGAUCAUAUGUUACUCUUUGUUGUCGGUGAUCUAGCACUCGUGUGAUUGAUUCCUUGUCGGUUUAGUGAUUCUCUCUCUCGUUUUCCCCGUGUUUCCCCUUUGUUCUUCCGUGUUUUCUUUGUGAUUCCCGUAGGAUCCACUCCAAACGUGAAAGAUCGUCACCAUAGGGUUACGCCCUACAUCAACUGCCCUUCUUCAAGCUGAUGAAGAAGAAGGGCCUGUUCGAAUGGACGGAGGAGGCCGACAAGGAAUUCCAAGGUCUCAAGAAGUACCUUACCAGCCCUCCGGUGAUGGUGGCUCCGCGCCCUCAGGAGCCCUUGGUGUUCUACCUUGCAGCCACGCCCUACUCCGCUAGCGCAGCCCUGGUGGCGGUUACGGAGGAGCGCCGGGCCGAGGCCGUGCCGGCCGCGGCCCCGGCCGAAGCGGAGCAAAGCCAAGAAAGCCUUGCGAAGACCGUGAUCAUGGCAGAUGAGGAUCAGCAUCAGUAGGGGGACGCACCCAGAGCGGGGGAGGCCCCGCCAGGCGACCAGGCGCUGGGGGCUCCGCCACCUCGGGAGACGCCUCGACCUCCAGAAGACGCAGGCCACGCCAACACCCUCAGCCUCGUCGAGCACCCUGUGUACUUCAUUAGCACGGUGCUGCGGGAUGCAAGGGCGGGAUACCCCAUGACCCAGAAACUCCUCCUUGCGUUGCUAGUGGCCUCACGCAAGCUGUGGCACUACUUUCAAGGCCAUCCCAUCAAGGUCGUCUCAUCAUAUCCCUUGGAAAGGGUACUCAGGAGCCCCAACUCAACUGGAAGGGCCACUGAAUGGACCAUCGAGUUGCAAGCGUUUCAGCUGGAAUUCAGCACGACCAGAGUCAUCAAGGGAGCCGCACUCGCAAAUUUUGUGGCAGAAUGGACGGAGGCACCAGGGCUCGAAGCAGGCGAGGAUCGGUCGCUUUCCCCAGGAAGUGAUGCGCCUGACGGCUGGGUCAUGUACUUCGACGGGGCAUUCUCGCGACAUGGCGCGGGGGCUGGCGCAGUGCUCAUAUCUCCCACUUAGGACAAGCUCUACUGUGUCGUGCAGCUCUGCUUCCAGCAUGGAGAGAAGGUCUCCAACAAUAUAGCAGAAUACGAGGGUCGGAUAGCAGGCUUGAAAGCUACAACCGCCUUGGGGGUAAAGCGCCUCAUCAUCAAGGGCGACUCACAACUCCUCGUCAACUUCUUCAACAAGGUGUACGAGCCGAAGGACGAGCACAUGGAAGCAUAUCUUGCAGAAGUCCACAGGAUGGAGAAACAGUUUUGCGGGUUGGAGUUGCAGCAUGUGCCUCGCGGCACCAAUCAAGAGGCUGAUGACAUCGCCAGGAGGGCAUCCAGGCGGUUGCCUCAGGAGCCUGGCAUUUUUGAAGAACGACUCUUCAAACCUUUAGUGGCACCGUCACUAUCAAGCAUAGCGCAGCCUCGGGAGGAGCUCCCCCAACCGCCUGCUUCGGGAGCCCUGGCUUGUGGCCCGUCCUCAGGAGCGCGCCUGCUCCUGGCGCUGGAGCCUCAGGAGGGAUGUCAGACCAUAGAGUUUAAGGAUUACUUGAUGCAAGGGAUUCUGCCAGAAAGGGAGGAGGAUGCGGAACGCGUGGCGCGGCAGGCCACGGCCUACUGCAUCCAAGACGGAGAGCUCUAUCGAAAGCGACCGAAUGACGUUUCCCUGUGUUGCAUCUCCAGGGAGCAAGGGAAAGAGUUACUGGUAGACAUUUACGGUGGAGACUGCGGGCAUCACUCGUCCUCACAGACACUCGUCGGCAAGGCGUUUCGCAGCGGGUUCUAUUGGCCAACAUCACUCAACGGCGCGAUCGAGCUGCUGAAGGCCUGUGAAGGCUGUCAAUUCCAUGCCAAGAAGAUCCAUCAGCCGGCUCAGGGCCUUCAGACCAUUCCCCUCUCAUGGCCAUUCGCUAUUUGGGGACUGGACAUCCUUGGCCCAUUUCCUCGGGCGCUAGGGGGCUACCGCUACCUCUACGUCGCCAUUGACAAGUUCACAAAGUGGGCAGAGGUGGAAGCUGUCCGCACCAUCCCGGCUGGCUCGGCGGUCAAGUUCAUCAGGGGCCUCGUGAGUCGGUUUGGGGUGCCUAAUCACAUCAUCACCGACAACGGUUCGCAGUUUAACAGCAAUCUCUUCAAAACAUAUUGUGCUAACCUUGGAACGCAGAUAUGCUACGCCUCGGUGGGACACCCUCGGAGCAACGACCAAGCUGAACGCGCCAACGCGGAGGUCCUGAAAGGCCUCAAAACUCGGACCUUCAAGAAGAAGCUGGAGGCCUGCGGCAGGGGCUGGCACGACGAGCUUCAGUCCAUGCUAUGGUCUAUCCGCACAACCGCUACCAAGUCGACAGGCGAAACCCCGUUCUUCCUCGUCUACGGUGCUGAGGCGGUCCUCCCUCACAAGGUCAGGCAUCACUCUGCGCGGGUCCCGGCUUUCGACGAAGCACAGCAAGACGCCAUGCGGGGGGUGGACCUCGUGCUGGGAGAGGAACACCGUCGGUAGGCUGUGCUUCGGGCUGCAAGAUACCAACAGGCGCUGCAGCGGUACCACAGCCGCAGCAUCCGCCCCAGGACCCUCGAGGUUGUUCAUAUCUCCAAGCCUAGCACCGCACGCUUGGAGACUCAGGAGGGGGUGCCCAUCCCGAACGUGUGGAACAUCCAGCACCUCCGGAAGCUCUACCCUUGAAGAAAGGCCCAACGCCUGUAAAGAAGGCCCAACGCGUGUGAAGCUAGACGAACCGAGAAAGGUCUGGUGCCUGUGAAGAAGGCCAACUCCUGUGAAGCUCAUCGCCCCGAGAAAGGCCCGGAGCCUGUGAAGAAGGCCAAUGCCUGUGAAGCUCGCUGCCCGUGACACUCUCACGUAAUAAUGAGUUGGGGUUGUACACGCCCCGGAGUCUCCGGAGAGCCGCCCUCGGGCCUCGGGGGCUCCCGCCCACGCCAGUGGCAGCACUUAGCUCCGCGCUGGUGAGAAGACGUCAAAGACUAGAUUAGGUGCCGGACACGGCUUUUUCAUUUGCUUUCUGCAGUUAGCUUGUUUGUCCCUAUUUGAAGUUUUAUUGGAAGUUGCUUUUAGUAUUGUUGCCUUCCCCGACCUGUGACUCUUUGUCUUUGUCGCCUACUUGACUCAUUUUCUCUCUCGCAAGUCUCGCGAGGGGGCUAUGUGGGUGCCCUCGCGAGUGUUUCCUGACCCAGUCUUGUGAGGCUUUCCUAUCCAAGUCCACCACGGGAGCACUCCUCCCGGUCCAUGCCCCACGGACAUCACGACAUGAACACAGGACCUAAGUCGGUUGCCCUCACGACCGAGACCGAAAAUCACCUCUCCUGACUAAUUCUUGCAGACCACGAAGUGCACGACAAGGCCUCAGCCUCGAGAAGCAAAGACUGCGACGAGACCCCCCAAGAUAAGUAAUUCUUACACGCAAGCACGCGACACCAAAACACAGCACAUGAAUAAUGAAAAUAACAUAAUGAUUAACGACAACAGUCCAGCACGCCCCUGUGGGGCCCUACACUACUCUCUCUCUUUGCGUAGGGAAAGGAGGAAAACAAAAUAGACAUGGCUUGCUCGGCACCGACUCGUGCCGAGGGCUCGUACUGCCUCCGGAGCUCAGUCAGACCCCUCCUCACACUUCACCGAGGCACGAUGGCAGGCUGGCCCGCUACCUCCCUCGAGGCAAGCACGACGGUGCAGAGGCUAGUCGCGGCCACCGCUGGAGGAGCUGCUAUCCGAAGGGGAGCCGCCGAGGCUUGACGAGCUACGAACGCCACCGGCCACAUGUCCGCCUGCAUCUUCAUCCCGACCAUCACCGAGGUUGGGCACCCGGCCGCCGUCGUCGUCUUCGGGGCAGCACCCAACGCGGCAGCCGUCUUCUCCAAACACCCUCAUGUAGAGGGUGGCGUCGCCGUCAAACUUGAAAUGCAGGGUGCACCGCCAGCUCAGGCCACGCACGUGGGCAAACGUUUGCCAGCCGCGGGUCAGGGCCACAUUUCCGGCGAUGGAGAUCUCCAGUGAGGCCCAGGAGGCCCUGCUGCAGCAACCAUCCUCUUGAAGCCAGAGGCCGCCAGGAGCGCCGGCCGGGAGUUCACCUGCAAAGAAGCGGGGGAGCUGGAGCCAACUGCCGGUUGGGUCCACUGACCACACGACGAACUCCAGCAGCACCUCCGCUGAGUGGAAGCGUGGCCUGGGAGGCCCCGCAGCCACAACGCGCCUUCCCUCAUCCACCAGGCGCCCAGCACCGCGCGGGAGAUCGCAGCCGCGACCGCGGGGAGCCGUUGCAGGAGACGCAGGAUGCUUGCGGGGACGACCCCGGCCGCGCUUGGGCGGGGGAGAGUCAGGCCCUUCCAGACGAGCCUUUCCCUUCUCCACGGCCGAGAACCUCUUCGGCGGCGCCAUAGAAGACGACGAGCAGUGGAGAUGGGGAGAAAGAAGGAAGUAGGGUGGAAGAUGUACAGCGGGAGCUAGCGCAAUCCCGCCUUUAUAGCCAGAGGAGGCCAACCGUCGGACUCCACGAUCACAAGUAAUCAUGACCUAUUUCUGCAUGUAGGGACUUGUCAAGUCGAGCAGUUGCCGAGGCAGCAUGGGGAAGCAGAGGCAGCCACGUCCAAUCAACCGCCACGCGGCGCCCAAGGCCGCAGGCCGAUGGCCCGCGGCGCUCCGCACUUGCCCCUCCGCUUCUCCGCUAAGCCGAGUCUAAGUGCGCCUUGGGCCCGGGGGCUACUGUCGGCGUUCUGGGAACGGGGGUCCCUAGACUUGCCUGCCUGCGGCCAUCUUCAUCAGCGCAAGACUUAAGACCCUCGCGAGGGGCCAAGCCUCGCGGGGCGGACGACACAGAACUUCCUCAGGAACAGCCUUGCCAGGCAGGCUCGCGAGGAGGCGGAGAGAUCAAGGCAGGGUACCUCGCGAGGUACUCGUGACGCAAGCCAUGACGAUCGAGACCAGGCGGGCGCCAGGCGGGCGUCGGCCUGCGCAGUGUCCUUGUUUCCUCUUUGGUGCAAAGGGGGCAAGCACAGGCGUGGAGUACCGAGGCAUCAGGCAAAGGUUGCCGUUUCAGUGCAACGAGACCAAGACCAGCAGAGCGGCAGGAUGGAGGUCACCGUGGAGCCCAAGACGGCGUCAUUGCCAGUGCCUUUGGCAGCCGAAGACCAACUUUAGUCAGGAUAACUUGUACUAGAUGUUCCCCUUCAAAAUGGCUGUUGUUGGCGCCCUUCCCGCUUAAUAUUUGGAAAGAGGACCAGGGCCUCUAUAAAUAGGACUAGCCACCACAGAAAGAAAGGGGAUUCAUCAAGCACCCAUCAAACCGAGAGGCGAUCAAACUCACCCUAGCAGUUCAUCACACCAGCUCAAGAACACCUCUCGCGAGGUUGUUCUUCUCUUGUACUUUUCAUCAUCAGCCCUUGAGGCAAUCCACCACACCACACACUAGAGUAGGGUAUUACACCACAACGGUGGCCAGAACCAGUAUAAAUCUCGUGUCCCUUGUGUUGUUCAUCGUCUAGCCUAGAUUCCCACUAGUCGACCGGACGUAGGUCGGUAGGGGAAAGAUCUUCGUGCGCACCCCAGAGUUCAAACCUUAAGGGUAUGCCGGAACCCAACAUCCGACAAAGAGGUCAAAACUUUAAGUAGCAAUGAACCCACUCUUUUGGAUUUUAAGGAAUUUAAUUAUGAUAAUUGUUCUUUAAUAGAUUGUAUUUCCUUGUUGCAAUCUGUGUUAAAUUCUCCUCAUGCUUAGAAUCAAAAUAGAGCUUUUACUAAACAUAUCGUUGAUGCUAUGAUGCAAUCUUUUGAAGAAAAGCUUGAACUAGAAGUUUCUAUCCCUAGAAAACUUUAUGAUGAGUGGGAACCUACUAUUAAGAUUAAGAUUAAAGAUUAUGAAUGCUAUGCUUUGUGUGAUUUGGGUGCUAGUGUUUUCACGAUUCCAAAAACUUUGUGUGAUGUGCUAGGUUUCCGUGAAUUUGAUGAUUGUUCUUUAAAAUUUGCAUCUUGCGGAUUCCACUAUUUAGAAACCUAUGGGAAGGAUUAAUGAUGUUCUUAUUGUUGCAAAUAGGAAUUAUGUGCCCGUAGAUUUCAUUGUUCUUGAUAUAGAUUGCAACCCUACAUGUCCUAUUAUUCUUGGUAGACCUUUCCUUAGAACAAUUGGUGCAAUCCUACAUGUCGUAUUUUGAAAUAGAUGUUUUAAAAAAGAAGGGAUUUAAUAGGGUGGGUCCAGGCAGUUUGCAUGUCCAGAAUGACUCCAGUAGAUUCCUAUCCCAGCUGUACGUCGGGUAUUUUUUCAUCAAGUUUUUCUUUUGUUAUGGCCAGUUCCGUUAGCCGAUUGGUUCUCGUCUCCAUGACGUAACUUUCCCCACCGAGGUUGUAAAAUUACCUCGCAUCUUUGUUCCCUAAGGUGGUUUGGUGCGAGACUGAUUCAUUUUUCUAUGUCGUAAUUUUACCUCCCGGCUGCUUCUUUCUUGUGGUUUGGGUGUGCUGCGACUCCUGCGAGUGGUUUGGCUGGGGUGAGGAAUAACUAUUUCUUGCCCUGGGUGACAAAUAGCGCGACCCUAUAUAUAUAUGAUGGACUCCUAUAGGUUUGUUGUUACGGUAGGGUGAGAUUUCAGACCUAGCUAUUUGGGGGCAUGCAUUCGUAGCUAGGAUUCCCUUACCGCCGACACGAAGUGGGGUUCGUAGGGGGUGACUAGCAAUAUUGUGCUUUUGUGCGACACGUGUCACAUCAAAGUUGUGCAUUGGGUAUUCGAACAUCAAACACCCUUUUCAUACAUAUAUUUGGUCCACAUGCAAGUGUGUUCGUGUUUUGACCCUCUCCCGCAUUAUUCUUUUUGCCAAAUUUAUAAAUAGCACAUGAGUUGGAUGUAGAAACCGUCUGCGAUUGGGUACACAACAAACACGGUUCGGUCAGACUACCCGUGUGCCACGCUCGUGCCCUGCAGUCCCUCACAUCAGCACGGUAGAUUAGGCCCCACGAGGCUUGCCUCCCGGUCUCAAAAAUAUCUAAUGCCUCGUAAUCUCAAAAAUAUCUAUCGCCUGGAAGGUUUUAAUGUCUGAUAGCACAUGAUUAGUAUGUGCGGACCGUGUGCGAUGUCUGUUACUCCCGCUCUGCUUCAGUCCCUUGAUUAAAAUUUUCAGUAGCCCCGACAUUUUACUCCCGCCUCUGCAUCCCUCGCAAUCUAAAAAAAUAUAUGCUCGCCCUUGAUCCAAAUUUUCAGUAGCCCCGCCUUGUUACUCCUGCCUAGUAAAAUUUCCAGUUGCCGCGCUAUUUCCUCAAACACCACCUUGCCCCCCCCUCCACACACACCACACACUCCCCAAAACCUCCGCUCAUACAGACACACACCAUUGGUAGAUCGCCGCCGCCGCCGCCUCUGUCCUCAAACUUUGCCUGUGUGCUAGGGGUGGUCCAUAGCGGGCUCUUUAUCGAUCUGCCAUCGCAGGUCACCCGAUCCGCCCGCCGUCGCUUCCCUACGCCGGUUCAAGGACUUCCCCGUCCUUCCUCGGGCCCGGCCGGUGAUGAGGUCCUACCUCGGGGUCCGGCAGUAGCGGUGGGGGACGUGGGUUGCCGAGAUUAUAGAUCAUGAGACCCACACCCGCCGGUGGCUCGGUAGCUUCCACACGGCCGAGCUCGUGGCCAUGGAGUACGACCUCUAGCGGGUCCGCUACCACGAUGUGGCGGUUAGGCUCAAUUUCCCCUUUGGGACAUGUCCGGUCGACCUUGUUCCGUCGGAGCCAGGGGUGGUGAGCUCGGCUAUGGCACGGGAGGACCGCGAGGCAUGGGAGCGCCUCGAGGCCGAGGCCACCGACGAGGCCUACAUGCAAGAGCUCCGCUGGCAGCACCCGGAGCUCAUGGAGGCGGAGCGGGUGAUCUUUGCCGGCAUGGAGGGCGGGGAGGUUAUCGUGCUCUCCUCUGAUGAUGAGGUCGAAGGCGGCGAGGAUGGCGGCACGGAGGGCGUCGAGGUGGGCGGCGAGGACGAGGAGAUCGACAUCGACGAGUGGAGGAGUGCCUUCCCAAUGACCCCGACGACGGCACCGGCCCGGACCCGGCUCGCGGUACACCGUACCUGACGAGAAAGGAUUGGCUCGACCUCUACUUCGACCGAAAGUAGUUUAGCUUAGUUUAAAUAUAUGUUUUAUGUUCGGUUAUGCAAAACUAUCUAUGUUUAGGUUUGAAUGCAUGCUACUUUCGGUUGAACCUGCUUUGAACUUGAUCAAAUUGAAGUUUACAACGUUAAGUUUAGGGGAUCGACCAAAAACGGCCAAAAAUUGCUGGAGUAUAUAUAUAUAUAGACACACACACACACACUAAGGGUUUUAGUCCGUUAACUUAACUUUUAAAGGAUCAGCUAGAGAUGGCCUUAUGCCUUGUUUAUUUCAGUUCUUCACAAUGUGGUGCUCUAUAUGUGAAGGAAAUAUGCCCUAGAGGCAAUAAUAAAGUUGUCAUUUUAUAUUUCCUUAUAUCAUGAUAAAUGUUUAUUAUUCAUGUUAUAAUUGUAUUAACCGGAAACUUGAUACAUGUGUGAAUACAUAGACAAAACACCGUGUCCCUAGUAAGUCUCUAUUAGACUAGCUCGUUAAUCAAAGAUGGUUAAGUUUCCUAACCAUAUACAUGUGUUGUCAUUUGAUGAACGGGAUCAUAUCAUUAGGAGAAUGAUGUGAUGGACAAGGCCCAUCCUUUAACUUAGCAUAUUGAUCAUUCAGUUUUAUUGCUAUUGCUUUCUUUAAGUCAUAUACAUAUUCCUUUGACUAUGAGAUUAUGCAACUCCCGGAUACCGGAGGAAUACCUUGUGUGCUAUCAAACGUCACAACGUAACUGGGUGAUUAUAAAGAUGCUCUAUAGGUAUCUUCGAAGGUGUUUGUUGGGUUGGCAUAGAUCGAGAUUAGGAUUUGUCACUCCGAGUAUCGGAGAGGUAUCUCUGGGCCCUCUCGGUAAUGCGCAUCAUAAUAAGCCUUGCAAGCAAUGUGACUAUUGAGUUAGUUGCGGGAUGAUGUAUUACGGAACGAGUAAAGAGACUUGCCGGUAACGAGAUUGAACUAGGUAUGAAGAUACCGAUGAUUGAAUCUCGGGCAAGUAACAUAUCCAUGACAAAGGGAAUAACGUAUGUUGUCAUUACGGUUUGACCGAUAAAGAUCUUCUUAGAAUAUGUAGGAACCAAUAUGAGCAUCCAGGUUCCGCUAUUGGUUAUUGACCGUAGAAGUGUUUCGGUCAUGUCUACAUAGUUCUCGGACCCGUAGGGUCCGCACGCUUAAUGUUUGAUGAUGAUUUGUAUUGUAUGAGUUAUGUGAUUUGGUGACCGAAUGUUUUUGGAGUCCCGGAUGAGAUCACGGACAUGACAAGGAGUCUCAAAAUGGUCAAGAGGUAAAGAUUGAUAUAUUGGAUGAUAGUAUUCGGACACUGGAAGUGUUCUGGAGUGUAUCGUGCACAUAUCGGAGUACCGGGGAGGAGGGUUAACGGAACCCCCCGGGGGAAGAUAUGGGCCAUAUGGGCCAUAGGAGGAGGCAUACCAGCCCACAAAGGGGUGGCACACCCCCCCCCCCAGGGAAGGAGGCCGAAUUGGACUAGGAGAGGGGGCGGCGCCCCCCUUUCCUUCUCCCACCUCUCUCUUUCCCCCUUUCCCCCUCCGAUAAAAGGAAAGGGGGGUCGAAUCCUACUAGGAUCCCAAGUAGGACUCCUCCUACUUGGGGCGCGCCUAGGGCCAGCCUCCUCUCCCUCCCUCCUUUAUAUAUGGGGGGCGCCUCUAGAACACACAUCAAUUGUUCCAAGCCAUGUGCGGCGCCCCCUUCCACAGUUUACACCUCCGGUUAUAUUCACGUAGUGCUUAGGUGAAGCCCUGCACGGAUAACUUCACCAUCACCGUCACCAUGCCGUCGUGCUGACGGAACUCUCACUCGACACUUUGCUGGAUCAAGAGUUCGAGGGACAUCAUCGAGCUGAACGUGUGCAAAACUCGGAGGUGCCGCACGUUCGGUGCUUGAUCGGCUGGAUCGAGAAGACGUUCGACUACAUCAACCGCGUUAACCAACCACUUCCUCUUUCGGUCUACGAGGGUAAGUGGACAUACUCUCCCCUUCUCGUUGCUAUGCAUCUCCUAGAUAGAUCUUGCGUGAGCAUACGAAUUUUUUUGAAAUUACAUGCUACGUUCCCCAACAAUAUGUGCAACUAUUUGCCGUGUAGUUCAAUUUCAUCAAUAUCACUUUCAACAAUACCACUAUGAAUUACGAUAUUUGGUUGUUGUUAAGGAUGUUGUAGUUAACAUGCCUUUUCAUUUUUUUAACAAUAACUAGUGUACUUUAGACCUGCACAAUAUCAGUUUGAAUGACUAUUUGCUUGUUUUUAACUGUUAUGCCUAAUGCAGUUAACACACCUUUUCACUUCUUGUUUUGCUUAAUUAGCGUGCUUAAGCCUGUAGACUAAAGCUAUCAUUUGUAGAUUAUGUUGUAUACCAUGGACAUAUUUGGUUGAUGUUUAGCCUGUUGUGCUUAAUAUGCCUUUAUAUGUACUCAUACAGGGCAAUAUUGAGAACAGUGUUGUUUUCCAUCGAGGUUAGUUUCAUCGCAUUGCUUAUAUGUACUCACUGUUCAGGAUAUUGGUAGCUGGUACCAUAUAGCCUGGGGGCUGAUAAGGGAUUAAUCAUUGAAUCAGACAUUUCACUGAAUAUAUUUGUAACCCAUUUAUCAGUAGGUUAACUAGGGUCAUAUUUAAUAUAUCUGAGGCUACAUAGCAACAUGCAUUGUACUGAAUGACUAAAUAAGCAAUCUCAGGCUACAUAGCAACAAGGAAGAGUGUUACCUUAAUAUUCUGAUGAUGUCUAGAUAUACAUUUAAUAAAAUCUUAUAUAAUGGGAUGGAGGGAGUAUUGUACUACAUCAUUUUGCAAUUGUUGUUUAGCUUCUAAUAUUAACUUGGUGCUUUUAGGCACUGUUCAAGAAAUCUUCUGAUUCACCGAUUAAUCUUCCGAUUAAUCGCUAAUUGGGGGGUGACCGAGAAGAUUAUGCCUUAUCUUUGCCAUUUAUAUUUUGGACUGAUUUAUCAUUCUGACAAGCGAAUCGGGAAUAUAUUGAUAAAUCAGACCUGUUCAUAGCACGAUGUUUGCAAAAACUAUGUUUAUUUAUGUUUUGUGGACCUUGUUAUGGAAUAUGUACUAUUGUCCUAUUUUUUUUUCCAUUAUACGAGGACUCAAAGGCUAGAAAUAAAGGUAACACUUCUGUCAAAUAUUGUUUUGGUGAUGAAUAUAGCGUAUUUUAGUGUUGGGAACCUGAUAUUUGCAAAAAAUAUCUGAUUAAUAGUCGACUGAUAAAAUCGAUUAAUCGACCGAUUUCCGAUUAAUCUCUAAUUCCUAGCGGAUCGAGACGGUAAUGAUAAGCGAUAUCCUCAACAUUGCUUUUAGGUACAUAGGUCAUUGCCAAAGAUCCACACUUCAAUCCUUUCUGCGUAUGGGGCAAUUGCGAUGAUCUAUCCCCAUCACAAUGAAAUUUCCCAAGAUUACCCGGGCCUAUCGGCCAAGGAUAUAUACUCGUUGAAUACAUUAGUGUAGCGCGCGUGCAGCCCAGAACAUCUAAGGGCAUCACAAACCUGAUAUUGCCUCAAACUUCCGUCGCCUAAACGGUGAUAGUCCCUCUAAGAAGCUAGCUGCGGAGGGAUGGCUCCGCAUAGCUAGUUAGCAGGCUAAGGUCUCGUUAGUUAAUGGAAUUAACCAAAAAAAUCGCUACACCAACUAAGAACGGCCAUGCACCACCACCCAUAGAAUCAAGAAAGAGCUCUCAGUCUGUCAAUCCUUGCUAUGUAACAAACGAGGACAUAGGUAGGUUCCAUCAACCAAACUGAUUGCAUCCAUAUCCCACAGUUAGACAUAAGUAAACAUAUAUUAAACAUACUCAGACAUAUAUAAUAAGCGUACACGUACACAAUCAUAGUUCAACCGUCAUUAAGCAUGCCCAAGCGUACAUAGUUCGAUCCCACAUCUCAUCUCACAUGCUGGCACGAUCCUGAAGCUUCUCCAGGUACUCGGCGUACGCGUCGUGCACCACCGUGCGAGAAUACUUCUACUUGAAGGAGCCAACGGCCCGUCCUCUUGCAUAUGCCAGAACACUUUGAUACGUGUCAUGAAGCUUGUGGUUGCAAAAUGGGCAUCGAUAGCCUCCGUCCCAACUCCUAAUACGCUUGUUAUGCAUUCCCGCAUAAAACUCUCUCAGGAUUUGCCUCUUGUACCUCCUCUGGACAUCUUAAUCCUCGUUGUCCACAUAGUCAGACAGCACAUAUACAAAUAAAAAAAAUGUGGCGUCAAAUUAAUGGUUACAAACUAAUCUCUAGCGAACAUUUGGCAGUUGCCAAAAAUUGGCAUCAAAAAAUCAACAAUUACAUGCUGUGAAGUAGGAUUAGGAAUUUAUGGCUACUUAUUUAUACAUAUCCAGAGAUUAUGCUUUGAUUUUUAAGCACAUCCGUCUAUGUAUAAACCAAUCUUGAAGAAAAUAAUGGUACAAAUAUAUGUAGGUCAUUCAAAAUCAAUUGUCAAGUCCUGGCUAGGAAUUAUUAGCACGAACACUAACCCUAGUCGGAUUACUAGCAGAAAUCAUUUCCAUAGAUGAAACAACUAAUCACUUAUCACUUGUACCAUUCAAACAAUCAAUACACUACACGGAUCUAACGGAACUUACUCAAAUUUCAUGGAUUGGGGGAACAUAACCAUAGGAUUUCUAUUCCAAAAAAGGGGAGGCAGGAGUAACCAGAGAAACCCUGAGACCUAUUUUUGACACAUAAAUGGGUAUAGAUGACUAACCAGCUAUCCAUCGUCAUUGGAGUCGUCACCAGAGUCGGUGUGGAACUCCGCCUCCGGCUGUGGAAGCUCGACGCCGUCAACGAUGUCAGGGUGCAGUGAUAACUCGAUGGCGAUGACGGCAACCUCUGUAUCCAUCUCCACUCCGUGCUCCAGUGCUUUAGCAGCCCCGACAUCGCCACUCCCUCCGAUGGGGUGCUUCGGUGGCAUUCUCAUACACUGACGGCUUUGAUGACUAAGAGCGGCGUUGAGGAUGCAAGCGGAGAGAGAGGAUUGCAUGCUCGGGCGCACCAUUAAUAUGGGAGAGCUCUUAAUAUGGAGUAGUGGGAGAGAGGGGGCGGCGAUCAAACUGCUGACUUGCCUCCCGGUGAGCCUGCGCACCGGACUACUAGCAUGUGUACCGUCAUUUCACGCAGCUACUCGCACGCCUCCCAAUGACACUGCGCAGCGAGCAUGCCUCCUUCAAUUCACACACCUGCACGCACGCCUCCCGGUCUGCCUGCGCGGCGGACUGCUCGCAUGCGUCCCGUCAACUCAUGCCUGCUCGCAUGAUACACGGGUUGCGUGGCGGCACGUAUAUUGUUUUUCUACUUGGAUGAUUAAUGAUGUCGCUUUCUUGCUUAACCAAAGCAUGGUACGUAUCCAUUGUUGGUCUAACGCUCACGGUUCGAAUAAAUAGUCCGUUUGGGAUAUUGGUUCCCAAUUGUUAAUAAUCCCCGUUUGUAAUUAGAUAAAGAUUACAUCAAAACUGGUCUCAAAUUUGACCAAAAAUAGUAUAAUGCAACUUUGUAUAGGUGUCCAUAUGACAACACAAUAAGUUUCAUGAACUUCAAAUAAGUCUUGGAUGUACUAGAAUUUAAAAAUCAAGAUUCUCAUUGUUUGAAAUUUGUUGCACGGGGAGUAAACAUGCACCCAGUAAGACACAUGUGUUUUUGCAAUCCAUUUAGGUGCACUUUCACGUGUGCAUGUAGCUCAAAUUUGAUUUUUGCACAUUAUGCCCGUAGAAAAUCAAUCAAUUAAUGUACUAAAACGUCUUAAUGAUCUCUGACUUUUUUCAAAAUUAAAAUGUCCCUCUUUUGGUAACAUAUAUAUGUUCACCGCGAGAUAAUUAAUUUAACAUACAUCGUAGUUGCGGUGGAUUCGUGGUGUGUGUGUGGGUGUGUGCGUCUGGGGCUGGAAGGUAGCUCGCAGUACACUAUGAGUUGCGAGCCACCAUGCGGGUUGGCCAUUUUGUUAGGCAGGCCGGUGCCACAUCAGAGUCGUGAAUUCUUAAUUUAAAACAUUACACAACCCUUUCAUACAUACAUGUUUUGGCUUCAUGCAGUCGACGGUUGUCCUACAUGACACUCGAUACUCGUGUAUGACGCUUUCUGUGGCCCCGCGAGGUCGUCGUCCAUCACUUUGACGAACAACCGGCAGUGAGGUUAAUUUGACCGGCAAGGUAGAAUCUUUUUUUGUUUGUGUUAUGGUGGUAUAUAGUACGCGUCGAAGAGGUGGGAGGGGACUAGUGUGUGUGUGUGUGUAUACACACACACAUACAUACAUACAUACAUACAUACAUAUAUAUAUAUACAUGUCCGUGAAUAAAUACACCUCACUCAGUGUCGGGACUUUUCAGUUUCUGAGGCACAUGCCACAUCAAAAUUGAGAAAUUGGCUAUUCAAACAUCACACAACACCUCUUUGCGCCACAUGCAUGCAGGCGAUGGUUAUUGUCCUAACUAGGACACUCACAUGUGACGCUUCCAUCUGUGGGCCCACAAGGCCAUCGUUGAUGCAUGCAUCACUUUGACCUACAUCAAGAGAGGUUAAUUAAUUUGACCAUCGAUGAGGAUUCUUUUUGGAUUUUAUUACGGUAGGAGCAUAUAGUAUGAGUCGAAGAGGGGGAAGGGGACCAUCAUAUGUAGUAUGCUUCAUGAACCUUGCUCUAUGUGGGUGCAUGGUUUACGGUUUUUGAGGCAUGUAGCACAUCAAAGUUGUGCAUUUUAGGUAUUCAACAUAUGUUUGGCCCACAUGCAAAGCGAUGGUGGUUGUCCUCUCGCAUCCACUUAAGCGGUUAUCAGCGAUAUUGAUGCUUUCCAUCUGUGGGUCCGCUUCGUCCAUCACUACUUUUUGCAUGAAAACUAGAGUGGUUAAUUUGACAUAGGAGGGGAUUGUUUUUUUGCUUGUAAUACGGUAUAUAUAUAUAUAAUAUAUGUAUAUAUAUAUAUAUGCACACACAUGCAUGUGUACGCAUGAAUCCCUCCCAUCGAGUCGAAGUGGCUAGUACAAUGACACAUCAUGAACCGAUCUCGCUCUGUGUGGGAAGAGUGUACGAUUUUUGAUGCACGUGCUACUGAAAUGGUAUUCAAACAUGCAUGCACGCAACACCUCCAUACAUAUGCAUAUAGUGGUUGUCUUUGAACGGUACACUCCUCGCGUGGUUAUCGGCGACAAGCCUAUAUAUUCGUGCGCUCGCGCGGACAUCCAUGAUCACCUUGACCGACAACAAGAUAGGUUACCAUGGCGGAUUCUUCAUUUGGUUCGUGUUAUCGUAGUAUAGGUCAUGGUGAGAUUCAGACCUAAUUAAAGUUUGAGCGCAUAUACUAUGCACGCAUGCAUGCAUGAAUCCCCAUCGUCGGCUUGAUGUGUGGUGUAACAUACGUAUGCAUCAUCAACCUAACCCUCACUCAGUGUGGGGAUUUCUAGUUCGAAAUCACGGUGCCACAUCAAAGUUGUUCCAUUGUGUACUCAAAAACACACCUCUCCAUACAUAUGUUUGGGACACACGCAUGCAGUGGUUGUUUCGGGGACUAGCUACUUGCGUGAUUAUUGGCGAGCUAUCCUAUCUCCAGGGUCGCAUGAAUGACACAUCACUUUGACCAACAACAAGAGAGAGGUUGUACGACCAAGGUGGAUUAUUCUUGGUCCGUUUUAUGAUCAAUCUUGGUGAGAUGCCUCUCUGGCCCGCCUACUGAAAGUGUGUGGGGGGGCUGCUACUUUGCACUUUGCUUGGUGAACCUCGGUUGGGGGGCAUGCAUUCAUAGCUUAGGAUUCCCUUCAUGCUGACAUGAGGGGGGGCUGCUAGCUACUUCGCACAUUGCUAGGUGAACCACGGUUGGGGGGGACAUCCAUUCAUAGCUUAGGAUUCCCUUCAUGCCGACACGAGGGAAGGAGGGCUGCUAGCUACUUUUCACUUUGCUAGGCGAGCCUCGGUUGAGGUGGCAUGCAUUCAUAGCUUAGGAUUCCCUUCGUGCCGACACGAGGGGGGCAAGCAAUACCGUGCGCUUUGCGAGAUAGGUGCGACAUCGAAGUUGCAUUUGGUAUUUGAAAAUCAAACCACCCUCUCAUACAUAAAUUUGGUCCACAUGCAAGUGUGUUUGUAUUCUGACCCUCUCCCGCAUCAUUUUUCGCCAAAUUUAUGAACAUUAGACAAGUCAGAUGACGCAACAGACACGGUUCACUCAAACUAACUGUGUGCCACGCCGGUGCCCCUGUCAUGCACACAUCCGCACAGUACAUUGGGCUCCAUGAGUCUCCCCCUCUCAAAAAUAUAUACCGGCCUCAAGGGUUUUUCUGUUUCAUAACAGGACUGUGUGCGAUGUUUCUUGUUCCCAAUCCCGCCUGCAUCCCUAGAAAAUAUUUGCCCGCCUCGAGGUUUUUUUUGUUUCAUAACACACACGAUUGUUAUCUCCGGACCGUGUGCGAUGUUUCUUGUUCCCAAUCUCGCCUGCAUCCCUAGAAAAUAUCUACCUGCCUCAAGGGUUUUUCUGUUUCAUAACACACUGUUGUUAUCUCUGGACCGUGUGCGAUGCACCAUCAUCAAAAUUUUCAAAAUCCCCGGCAUUUGACUCCCGCGUAGUAAAAUUUUCAGCACCAGCAUCAUUUCCUCAAACACACACCCCCUCCACACACACAUGCACCAAAAACCCCUCGGGCGCGCGCGCACACACACACUCUCCCUCGCUCGAAACCCUAGCAAGGUCCCCACCGCCACCACCGCAAGACCUCCAUUGUCAACAUCUGCCGGUUUGCCCGUGCAGCUUACCCACCGAUCUCCAUACCUCGGCCGCCUUGAGUUUCUUAGAUGACGCCUGCCAAACGCCUCCUUUCCCACAGAUCCCCAUCCCCCACUCUGGAGCAUCGGAGCCUAAGCCCGGCUACGCUUCCCGUGGAGCUCGAGGAGCAACUAGCCCAAAAGAGGUGUAUCGCGGUCUCAUCGCCUGACGUCACCGAGGAAGCUGACGACCAUUACUGGCCGCAGACACUCAAUCAGCGGGCUAGAGUAUGUAGGUAUGUCGCGGACGCCGGCUACGGCAUCGAGGUCGUCGACAGCGACGGCCUGAGGCAGGCUAUGUCACCGGUUAAGUGGCCCAUCCCCAACCCCUCGGGUUCAACUGUCGUCGAUCUCGUCCAUGGUCUCGCCGCUGAUCUCCUCUGGCUCGCUGUCAAUAAUUUGCCAUCCUACAUCACCAUCGAGCCCCUUUUGUCAUUUCUGAAGGACACGUUCUGCGACGCUGGCUUGGGAUCCACGGCUUCCAAGUCAGACCUCAUCGAUGAUGACCACGAGGAGGGCACCCUCUCCGGCUCUUCCAAGGGGAAAGAGUCGUCUGCGACAUCAGGGAGGGCACCCUACAGUCGUGCUCUUCGAAGGGGAAGGAGCCCAUCUGCGACAACAUGGAGCGCAUCCAGGGUCCGUCUCUUCCCACGGGAACAAGCCCAUCUGUGACAAGUGAGGAAACCCAUGAUUUUUUUUGCCGUGCCUCUUCACAGGGGGAAAACCAUGAUUUGUUUUGUCGAGUCCCUUUUGUAGUGUAGUGAGAAUAUGUCCAGUUUUAAUUCUAUAUCUGGUUGUUUGCAGUAUGCCUUGUUUAUUUCAGUUGUUCUAUAUGUGCAAUUAUUUACUAUGCAGUACAUUUCAUCAAUCCAGUUUUAAACAUACCGACAGGAAUGCAUAUAUUUGCUUGUAGUUAAGCCUGUUAUAGCUAGCAUAUGCCUCUUUUAAAGUUUUUUGAUUGUUCUGUUGUUUGUAGUUAGCAUAUGUCCAGUUUCAAAUGCUAUCUUUGAUUGUUCGUAGUAUGCCUUGUUUAUUCCAGUUAUUCACAACAUGAUGUUCUAUAUGUGCAAGUAUGAACUGUGCAGUUCAAUUUCAUCAGUACCAGUUUCAACAAUACCACUAUGAAUGACUACAUUUGGUUGUUGCAUCUUGUAGUUAACACGUCUUUCCAUUUUUAUUUAACAAUAACCAGUGUACUUAGACCGGCACAAUACCAGUUUGAAUGACUAUGUUUGCUUGUUGUUAAAUGUUAGGCAUGUUGCAGUUAACACACCUUUCCACUUGUUUUGCUUUCUAGCGUGCUUGAACCUGCACAUUGAAGCUAUCUUUUGGAGAUUAUUUUGUCUGCCAUGGAUAAUUUUGGUUGAUGUUUAGCCUGUUGUGCUUAACAUGCUUCUCGAUGUACCUACAUAGGACAAUUUUGGGAAUGACUGAUGUUUCCCAUCGAGGUUAGUUUUAUCCCAUGGCUUAUAUAUGCUCACUAUUCAGGAUAUCGGUAGCUGGUACCAUAUAGGUCGGGGGCUGAUAAGGGACUAAUCGGUGAAUCGGACUUUUAAUUGAAUAUAUCAACAACCCAUUUAUCGCUAGGUUAACUAGGGCCAUAUGUAACAUAUCUAAGGCUACAUAGCAACAUGCACUGUACUUAAUGUCUACAUAUGCAAUCCUACGCUACAUAGCAAUAAGGAAGAGUAUUACCUGAAUGUUCUGAUGAUGUUUAGAUAUACGUAGAAGAGCAUCAACAACAACAACUACAACACAACCAUGUUUGGAUACUCAACUUAGCUAGAGGUUAGAGUUAGUUUCUAGCUCAUGACUAACCCUGAACUAACUCCAUCCAAAGAGGUGUUUGGAUGACAAGGUUAGAUACUUAGAUUGACAAUAAAUGCACUAGGAGAAUUAGCUCCAAUUAGCACCUCUUGGGUUGGAUAGUUUUUUUGGGUGGGUUAUAGAUAAAACUAGCUGAAACUAGCCCUCAUGCUUAGAUAUACUUUAGGGCUAUUUAAGCCCGAACUAGCUCAAACUAACUCUAAACCAUGGAUACGGCAGCAGUUAAUUAGCAAAUAAUUUGUAAGAAUGCAAUAAACUCCUUCCGCCCCAUAAUAUAAGAUGUUAAUUCAUCUCAUAUGUGAGUAUAUUGGAUGUUAUAAGAUAUUAUAAAAGAGUGUUGUACUACAUCAUUGUGCAAUUGGUGUUUAGAUUCUAAUAUUAACUUGGUGCUUUUAGAUAUAUAUGUCAUUGGUAAAGAUCCGCGCUUCGACCCUUUCUGCGUAUGGGGAAAUGAGAUAUCGAUGAACCAACACCAAGUGAGGAAGCUGAUAAAGAUUGUUAGUAAAAUGGGUCAAAAGAUGGCAAUUAAACUAUUUGUUUACACUUUAUCCAAUACAACAGCGAACUGCAGGAUGGUAAGUAAGAACUCUACAUCCUUCUUUUUAUUGCCCAUAAUGAGUUGUAUUAGAUGACAAUGUCUAAAUCUUUUUUCCUUUGUAGUGGUUCCCAAAGAAGUUUACUCAAGAUUAUCUCUCGAACUACAUGAUUGGUGGGCAUGCAAAGGUUAAAGUAUUUCUACCAGAACACGAUGAUUAUCUAGAUGUUUUCAUGAAGAUUGUGAAGGAUGGGCGGUCGACCAUCACAAGGGGUUGGACUAGAGUCGUGCGUGCCUUGUGCAUGGAGGAGGGCACAAUAUGGGCAUUCCGCUUCACCUUGUUCAGCAACCAGAAUGUAUUUCGCCUCUUUCUUUACCGUCUUUAAUAGUACAAGUAUACAAUUGUGGUUCAUCAUUCUUUAUUUGGUUCUUAUGUAAUUUUUGAUAUGUACCUAUGAAUUGAAUAAUGCAUUGGUUGUCUGAACCUGAUGGAUAUGAAUAAAGCUAUAGCAUACAUUCAAAUUCAAAUCCGGUACAAUUCGAUAUAGCAACAAUUAAAUUACGGUGAAAUUAUGCUCUCCAGGUCAUUACGGCACACACGGUUGGUAAAACACAAACGUCUGCGAUAUACACCAUAAUCCGAGACGGUUCACAGAGAGGAAACGUGUGCAAGCGUGCACACAGUUGUCGUUUACAAAACGUGUGCGAUAUCAGACAAUAUCACAAACGGUGCAGGCAAACUAAAUGUUCGUGAUGGUUGCCUUAUCAUACACGAUUCGCAACCAUGAAUUGUUUCUGAUGAAGUAAGCAUCGUAAACGUUGCACCACAGAAUAGCGUGUGUGAUAGUUGUCGUGUACGACGAUGUUACGACUGUCCGACGUUUCAUAAUCCUAUCCGACACUCGUAUGACGAUUAGCUAAUCUUCUUAAUUAGUUAUCGCAUAUGGUUCGAAAAAAACGGAUGUGUGUGAUUGUAUACUUAUCAUACAUGUUCUAUAAUAGUGAACCGUUUGUGAUGGGCCGCGCAUCGUAAACGUAGCACCGCAGAAUACCGACUGUGAUGACAAUGCAAGCACGAACAAGUAGGAGUAUUGUAUAUGCAUCUUGGCUCCCUAUCCCCGGCGAUUUCUGGGUCGUGUGGGAAGGACCCCCCUAUUGCCCACACUCACUUGGCGACGGUUCCAAAUGUCGUCGUGGAAAGGGGUUAAAAACCGUUUGUAUAGCACCGACGUGUACCAGUGAUUCAAGAGGGUGUAGAGAAUAUCUCUCUGAAUUGGGGUUUAGGGUUUAGGGGAUCUCAUCUUGGUCAACCAUGUCUCGCAAUAUAUUUCACGACUAACAUGAAAGCUACCUUUAUAACUACCCUGUUACGGAGUAGCGUUUAGACCCUAAGUAAGUCGAUUCACAUCCCGAGUACAUGUGAAGACCUCUGGUCUAGGAUAUGGAAUAGACAUUGUACUUGAGACUAACAUAUGACAAUAUCUCACUGCUUACAUGACUAACAUAGUAAUCAUACAAAGCUUAGUCAAAAUCAGGAUCAUCUACUGAAAAAUCUUGCCAAACAUGUGAAAAAAAUAUUAAGCAAACAGAGAAGCAUGAAACAAAAUGCAACCAAAUAACUAAGAACCCGAGACAGCUGGAAAAAUCAUCCUCGGCAAAAACACUAGGAACAAAAUGAUCCCCAUCUGAAUCAUCGCUCUCUUCAGGACAGCCGACAGGAAUGCCCUUAGAACAACCCUUCCGGACUCUACCCAUAGUAUAAACUAUUUCCUAAAAAUGGUUAAACAUACAUACAAAAAAAUAUUGAGAAGUAUUACAGUAUGAAUAGCCACAGGUCCAGUGCUGAUGAACUAACAAAAAUAAACUCCGGACAUUACACACGUUCAAUAAUUGUCCAUUGCAUAAACAUUACCAGGUUGCAUAAAAUGGAGCAACAAUAGAUAACCAUUCAAUCCAAACAAAAAAUAGUAAUAUCUACUGACAUAAGGCAUAUACAAAUACAAAUACAACACUGAACAAAAAGGUGCAAUUUACAAAUAUAAAGGACUCAAUACACAAAGAUAACAACAGAACACAUUAAUUGAGCCAAGAAAAAUACAUACAAUGAAAAUUAUUACAGUGAACAAAUGCCCAAGGAGACUACUAACUGAUAUUAUACUUAAACUAGAAAUUACAUCUAAUGAAAAAUAGCUGGCCACAUUUCACCCCCCUGCAAAUACCAAAAACUCAUAUUAGUAUAAGCAUGACAACAAAAAAUACUAAUAGGCAGGGAAAACUAAACUAAAUCACUACCUACCAUGCUUAUAAAAAUCUAAAUAGUCAAGCAUCAGCCAUGAAACUUACUAAAUCACCGGGUAGCAAAUUGAAACUUACAAUAACUACAAAAACAAAUAAGGAACUACAACUCAGGGAGAAAUACUCAACAACUCUGGGUAGUUAACUAACCUAAAAUCAAUGUUCCACAACAAAGGCAUCUAUAUAGCUAACUAAGCUAACAAUAACUAACAUCACUCGUUCAACAAAAUCUCCUACAAAUUACAAUGAACCUAAUACAACCAAAUCAGCAAACACUACUAACCCUGACACAAUCAACCAGGGGGUGCAUACGAUGCAAAAAGAACUAACCAACAGCUAAAUCACGGAUCCAAAUGGUCAAAAAGAAAAAAACAUAUCACGCGAACAACAUACCCAAGUACAUCUAUCAGAAGAAAUAAAAUCCUGCAAAACCUAUGGUGAAACUAACACAACAUCAUACAAUGGUGCAUGAGCAAACCUACGUAUCAGAGAACACAAGCAAAACACAAAUCUCAGCAACGAAUUAAAAUCAGGAACAAAAAGAGCAAAGAUGCAACGUUGGGGGAGAAGCAGUAGGGGGAGAGAUGGAAUGAACCACGAAUCCCAGAAGAGCACCGGACGCCCGACCACCAAACCCCCCAAGCGAGCAGCAAGGUAGAGCUCCAAACCAAAAUCGCCAUGCCUCUCUCUCUCUCUCCGAGCCCUUGAUGUGUCCGCCACUGGACAGGAGAAGGGAAAGAGACAAAGGCAGCUACAGGGAGGAAAAAAGAAAAAUCCAAAAUAAAGGGGGACUCUAACCAAGAGAUACCGGACGCGUGAAUUAACGGGUCUCCUUGAAAAUUUUACGGGUUCGAUAACAACCAACCAGCCCGAGAGCUGAAAGAAAAGCAUAAUUGCACGAAUCUCAACAAAGAGAUCUGACAACAAAAAAGAAUGAAAGCCAAAAGUUUUCACCUGGCUGAAAAAAGUUAGAAAUUUACAUGAAGUAGUCAUAUUUUUCAUACGAAAAUAUAAAUAGUCAUAUUUUUUACAUUUCGUACAGGUUAUUGUUCUAUAGCAUUUCCUAUGACCAUGAAUUUUGCGCAUUUUUGGAAGUCACAAAGUUUUAAACAAUUUCAAAUCCGGUCUAGUAUUUAUUUGAAACAGUUUUUGAAAUUCAGAAUGAACCUUGCGGAACAUUUUCUUCUCUACCAAGAUGUCCCAUUUCUCAUUACUUUCCUAAAGGAGCCUGCAGCAGUUUAUUGUUUUGGCAGCAUGAACUAGUUCAUCAUCUUUUGAGCAUUUCGUUAUUGAGUUUAUACAAAAAGUACUAGUUCAUGCUGCCAAAACAAUAAGCUGCUGCAGUAACCAUACACCAUAACACAUAAUUUUCAGCCACACAGCUCUACCCAAUAGUACUGCUCCAUCCCAUUCCAUACCACGUCUGAAAACACAACAUUCACCAGACAUCUCAGUAGAAGACCGACAACACACCCGAGCAGCAGCGCACACAGCUCUACCCAAUAGUACUGCUCCAUCCCAUUCCAUACCACGUCUGAAAACACAACAUUCACCAGACAUCUUAGUAGAAGACCGACAACACACCCGAGCAGCAGCGCACACAGCUCUACCCAAUAGUACUGCUCCAUCCCAUUCCAUACCACGUCUGAAAACACAACAUUCACCAGACAUCUCAGUAGAAGACCGAACACACCCGAGCAGCAGCGCACAAUGGCAGGUAAACAAGCUAGAGUUCUUGAUUUGAAACUGAAAAGCAUUCUAGAAUUCAUGAUCCACAGAAGGGAGCGAUCAAACGCCUAGCCUAGAAGGUGAAGAUCUCAGCAGGUACAUGACCAUGAAGAUAAAAACUCACGUUAGUGACAGCGAGAGCUACAGCAUUACAGACGGCGGCUAAAUUAAUCUUACUUAGGGAGAAACAGCAUGCCAGAGAGCAAGAACCUAAACCUCCUAGCUACCAGGUCGGCCAUUGCUGGUCGACGGCAGACGUUACAGCAGUACCAGCUCCUCUCCAGCCCAGCCAACAAAUGGGGCUCUCUUCGAAGGCUUGAGCAUGCGGUGUUAG